GGAAGAAUGGUAAGUUAAUAGCUCUUAUUAUUUAUGUGGAUGAUAUGAUUGUGACUGGUGAUGAUCUUGAUGAAAUUGGCAAACUAAAAGGCUAUUUAGCUUCUGAGUUCAAUAUGAAGGAUCUCGGUGGAUUAAAAUAUUUUUUGAGUAUUGAGGUAACUCAUUCUGAACAGGGAAUUUUCUUGUCACAAAGAAAAUAUGUUCUUGAUUUGCUAAAGGAAACAGAUAUGCUUGGGAGUGAACUGAUUGUUACUCCUAUAGAACAAAAUCAUGGUUUGGAAGAAUGUCCACAUCAAGUUCCAACUGAUAAGGAAUGAUAUCAAAGGUUGGUUGAUCGUUUGAUAUAUUUGUCUCACCCUAGACCUGAUAUUGCAUAUGCAGUAAGUGUGUAAAUAGGUUCAUGCAUAAUCCAAGUGUACGACAUAUAGAUGCAGUAGUCCAAAUUUUGAGGUAUUUGAAGUCCGCAUCAAAAAAAGUUCUGAUGUUCUUAAAGCAUGGGCCUGUAAAGGUUGUGGGGUAUACAAACUCACAUUAGGCAGGAAAUAGGGAUAAGAGGAGAUCGACAUCUGUUUAUUUCACGUUUGCAUGAGGUUACUUGGUUACUUGGUUACUUGGAGGAGUAAAAAUCAGAAGGUUGUCUCUUUGUCGAGUGCAGAGGCCGAGUAUCGAGCUAUGGUGAAAGGUGUUUGUGAACUACUAUGGUUGAAAAGGCUUAUGGGGGAGCUGGGUAUUCCUACUAAGGAUACUAUGAAGUUGUAUUGUGAUAAUCAGUCAACAAUUAAGAUUGCUGAAAAUCCAAUUCAACAUGAUAGAACGAAACAUGUAGAGAUUCAUCAGAACUUUAUUUAUGAGAAAUUGGAAGAGAAGAUUAUUGAAGUUCCAUAUGUUAAGACUACUGAACAAUUGGAGAAUAUGUUUACCAAGGCCGUAUCAAAUCAAGCCUUUACAGAUUCACUUGUCAAGCUGAGCAUAAGCCACAUCUAUGCACCAUCUUGAGGAGGAGUGGUGGCAUGAAUCACAGAAUCACAAUAGGAAUUAUAGACAAUUACCUUUAUUAUAAUUGAUUUGUAAUUAUAGGAAUAUCGGUUUGACUGGGUUGCAUUUAUUUCUUUUUUCCUUAUUGUAAUUACUUCCUAGAUAGGCUUGUAUUUGUAUCACUAUAAAUACCUCCUUGUGAGAAGAAUAGAAUAUACUAAAUUAUUCAUAACCCUAAAUUCCAUUUGAGUAUUUGCAGACCCUUGAUCUUUCCUUCAACCAUGUUACAUCAAAAAAUCGAGAUUGGUUGUCUCAUCUUUCUUCCUUGAGAUACUUGAACAUGAUAUCUCUAAAUUUUUCCAAGGUUGUAAGUUGGCCACAAACUAUAAGCAAGCUCUCUUCACUAAUAGAGCUUCAGUUAUCAAAAUGUGAUCUUCCUGAAGUUGACCUCAGAUCAUCAAUGCCCUUUAUUAAUUCUUCUUCCACCUCUCUUCAGGUCCUUGAACUUUAUGAGAAUCUUCUUUUGAAUACCUCAAUAUUUUAUAGGAUAUCUAAUCUCAGCAGCAACCUUGUCCAUAUUGGAUUAGGAGGAAAUCAGCUACAAGGUCCCAUCCCAGAUGUUUUCACAAACAUGGUCUCUCUGACAUCUCUUCAACUCUUUUAUAACAACCUUGAAGGUGGGAUACCAAAAUCCCUUCGAAAUCUAUGCAGCUUAGGAACAUUAGAUUUAGCGUCAAACAAAUUUUCUGAAAAGCUUCAAAUGCCGUAGAAAAAAUUUCGUGUGCAAAGGAUAGCCUUAAGUACUUGGACUUAAGCAGUAACCCAUUUUGGGGGUCAUUUCCUGAUGAUCUUACCACAUUUCUAUCCCUGACAAGUAUAAACAUGGAGGGUUAUAUGAGUGGGUCUCUCCCAAGAACACUAGGAUAAAUUUCCAAGCUAACAUUAUUGAGCUUCGCUUCAAACUUUAUUUAUUUCAAAUCAUCAACUAAAGGGAUCUCUACCACAGAGUGGAGGGCAACUUUCUAGCCUUGAAGUUUUGGAACUUUCUUGGAAUUCCUUGAAUGGUGUCAUAACAGAAGCACAUUUCUUGAACCUCUCUCGUUUACAAUCUUCCGAUAUUUCUCAUAAUCCUUCUUUGUACUUCAACUUCAGCUCAGAUUGGAACCCACUGUUUCAACUUGAUAUAUAAAUCAUGACCUCUUGCCAGGUUGGCCCAACUUUUCCCAAAUGGACUCAUAGGCAGAGAAAACUUACCAAUCUUGAGAUGUCCAAUGCUGGGACAUCUGACUUAAUACCAAAUAUAUUUUGGGACCUAUCUUCUGCUAAAAUAUGAAAACUAUGAGAGAAUAUUUGUUUGUGGGAAUUUUCUGUAUAUUCUUCUCCUUGUAGGAGGUCAUAUUUAUAAUACAACGAAACCUGAAUGAGCAAGUAAAUAAUAAAUUCAUAAAUCUAUUUGCAGUAGGAAAUCAGGAAUUAAAGUAAAUCAAUUACAAUUAUAAUAGGAAUUCUUGGUGUGUAAGGAAAGUAAGUCAAUAUCCACAAGUCGCGCCAACACUCCCCCUCACGUUGGUGCAUAGAUGUCGCCAAUGCCCAACUGAUCUAGUGAAUUGUGGAAUGCUUUACUGGAAAUCGCCUUUGUCAAAAUAUCCGCCAAUUGAUCCUCGGAUUUCACAAAAGGAAACUAAAACACUUUAGCCUCAAGCUUUUGUUUGAUGAAGUGUCGAUCCACCUCAACAUGUUUAGUACGAUCAUGCUGAACCGGAUUCUGUGCAAUGGCUAUAGCAGCCUUGUUGUCACAAAAGAGAUUCAUUGUGGAUGUAGGUUUAUACCCAAGUUUAGUAAGCAACUUUCUUAACCAAAGAAGUUCACAAAUCCCUUUAGUCAUGCCUCUGAACUCACUGUUUCUUGCUUCUCCAUGUCACUAAAUUACCUCCCACGAAUGUGAAGUAACCCGAUGUGGAUUUUCUAUCUGUUACAUUACCUGCCCAAUCUGCAUCUGAAUAACCAUCAAUAUUUAGAUUACCAUGCUUUGAGAACAUAAGUCCUUUUCCAGGUGCAGACUUCAAAUAUCUAAGUAUCCGAAGAACUGCAUUCAUAUGGUCUUCACUUGGAGAGUGCAUAAAUUGACUGACAACGCUCACCGCAUAAGCAAUGUCUGGUCGAGUAUGUGACAAAUAGAUCAAUCUUCCCACUAACCUUUGGUAACUUUCUUUGUUAGUUGGAACUUGAUCCGGAUAAACUUGAUCCGGAUAUUCUCCAAAAUGAUGAUUCUGAACAAUAGGAGUGUCCGCAAGUUUACAAUCUAGCAUUCCUGUGUCUGUUAACAAGUCUAAGACAUAUUUCCUUUGAGAGAGAAAUAUGCCUUGCUGCGAUCGAGCCACCUCAAUUCCCAAGAAAUAAUUGAGUCCACCUAGAUCCUUCAUCUUAAACUCCGUAGCCAGAUAGUCUUGUAGCUGUGAUAUUUCCUGUUUAUCAUUCCCAGUAAUAAUCAUAUCAUCAACAUAGAUUAUUAAUGCUGUUACCUUUCCUUUUCGAUGUUUCAAGAACAGAGUAUGAUCUGAGUUGCACUGUUUGAAACCAUUGUUCUUCAUUGCCAUGGUGAACCGUCCAAACCAUGCACGUGGUGACUGUUUCAAUCCAUACAAUGCUUUUCGUAACCUGCAAACUGUUCCAGUCUGAGUAGUAUUAUAUCCAGGAGGAAUGUCCAUGUACACCUCCUCCGUGAGUUCGCCAUGUAGAAAAGCAUUCUUUACAUCAAACUGGUGUAAUGGCCAAUCCAAAUUAGCUGCAAGAGACAAUAAGACUCUGACAGUAUGUAACUUUGCAACUAGAGCAAAGGUUUCUUCAUAGUCUAUACCAUAGGUCUGUGUGUACCCUUUUGCCACAAGUCUUAUCUUGUAUCACUCGAUAGAUCCAUCUGCAUUGUGUUUUAUAGUAAACACCCAUCUACAUCCGAUAGUCUUUUUUCCUCGGGGUAUAGUCUCCAAUGUCCAAGUUUGAUUUUUCUCAAGGGCUUUCAUCUCCUCUUUUAUAGCUUGGACCCACUUAGGAUCUUUCAAUGCUUCAGAGACCUUGGUUGGAAUAUGGAUAGCAGACAACUGAUGCACAAAAGCCUUGAAUGGUUCAUACAGCUUCUCAGUGGAUACAUGAUUUGCAAUUGGAUACUUGGAUGUCUUGCCAAUAUUAGGUGAAUAACGGUUUGGUGGCUUCCCACGAUUUUGCCUGAAAGGUAAUUGAUAUCCAAUAGUUUUAUCAUCUAAAUGCACAAGUCUAGUAGGAGUAGUUACCUCAAGAAUAUUCUCAGGAGAUUGGUCUGUUGGUACUGUUGAGUUAGAGGGGGGGUCUUCAUCUUGUUGUUCUGUAUUGUCUGUAGGUGUGAGACUCGGAUCAGAAAUAUCUUCGCAUGGAUCAGGUGGGUCAGGCAAUUGAUCGCUAUGAAUGGGCGAUUGGUCGCUUUUCGACAGAGAGUAAUCUCGUGCUCCAAACUCGGAAUGAUCAAUCAUUUCUGUACAAAAGAUAAUUUCUUUAUUUUCCAAGUUGCUCCAAUUCUGCUCUUCACUUUGUAUCUCCCCCUGAAGUGUAGAAUUGGAUGAUGGGUCAUGGAAGAACAGCUCAGAUUUCGAAAAGGUCACAUCCAAAGUGACAUAGGUUCGUUGGGUAGGAGGAUGAUAACAGCGGUAGCCUUUCUGAUAAGUGGCAUAACCCACAAAAACACAACGAAGCGCACAUGGAUCAAGUUUGCUACAUUGAUUUUUGUGGAGAUGAAUGAAAGCCAUACUUCCAAAGAUUCGGGGUGUGAGGACCAAAACAGAAGGCAAAGGUCUGUAUUGUGCAAGCACCUGUAAGGGAGUUUUAAAGGUCAGUACACCAGAAGGCAUGCGGUUGAUCAGAUGAACUGCGGUGACAAUAGCAUCAUCCCAGUGAUGGCGAGGAACAUGAGCGCCAAUCAGAAGUGCUCGGGCGGUUUCAAGAAGAUGUCGAUUCUUUCGUUCAGCAACAACAUUUUGUUGUGGUGUCUGAGGACAAGUCGUCUCAUGGAUAAUUCCAUGUUGUUGGAAGUAAGUCUGAAAGUCAUGAUUGACAAAUUCUCCACCAUUGUCUGAGCGAAGAAUCUGGAUUUGAGCAUUAAACUGAGUUUUCAUCUGUUGUGGAAGGACUGAAAACAGGAAAACACUUCGUUUUUAUUCUUCAGCAAAUAAAGCCAUGUCAUCCGUGUACAAUCAUCGAUAAAUGUGACAAACCAUCGAACACCAGAAGAAGCAGUGAUAGGAGAAGGUCCCCGGACAUCAGAGUGAAUUAACGUAAAUGGAGUAGUACACUUGUUCGUACUCAACGGGUAGGGCACACGGUGACUCUUGGCGAAAAUACAAGUAUCACAUGUGAAGUCAGAGUCCUUGAAACCUGAGAAUAAAUCUGGUAUAAGAUGCUUCAUAUAACUAAAAGAUGGAUGUCCCAAUCGACGGUGCCACAACCAGAUUUGCUUUUGUUUGCUAUCAAAGGGAUGUGUCACGCUGUUAGCCAUGCCGGGACUGAAGUCAUCGACAUAAUAUAGCCCCCCUCUCUUAGUACCACGACCAAGAAUUUCCUUAGUGUGAAUAUCCUGAAGCAAACAAAAACUCGGGUAAAUGAGUACACAACAAUUCAAUUGUUCAGUAAGCUGACUAACUGACAACAAUUUAGUGGAUAAAGAUGGAACAAGUAAAGUAUUAGACAGUGUGAGAGAGGAUGAGAACAUCUUCCAGCUUAGUUGAGUUAAAUCUCUCUAUGAACCAAAUCCAUGGGAAGCUCCCAAAUCUGUCAUCAGAAAACAGCUCCAGUGCUAUUAUUGACUUGACUUCUAAUCAUUUGUCUGGUCCACUCCCAUCAUUCCCUCAUAGCAUUAACGUUGCAUUUCUCUCCAAAAACAUGUUUUCCGAGACCCUAUCUUCCGUAUGUGCAACACAGGCUCCGGAUUUGCAUGUUCUCAACCUUUCUGAAAACCUUCUAUCAGGAAAACUUGUUGGAAGCACUUUCAAGGAUUGCUGUCACUGAAUUUGGCAGGGAACAAUUUAUCUGGGAAAUUUCCAAGGUCAUUAGGCUAUUUGAUGAAUAUUAUAUCCUUACGUUUACAUGAUAACAGCUUUUCAGGAGAGUUUCCUUAUCUGGAGACCUGUACAGAAUUAGUGGGGGUUGACCUUGGAGCCAAGAAGUUAUCUGGAAAAAUACUAGCAUGGAUAGACCAAAGCCUAAGUUCAAUGGAAGCAUGCCCUUAACUCUAUCCAGUCUAUCCAUCAUUCAUGUUUUGGACCUCUCCCAGAACAAUAUAUCUGGAGCCUUGCCACAUUGCCUCAACAAUAUAACAGCUUUGUCUUAUGAGUUGUACGAUUUCACAAUCGCUGAUAUAUUCGUACAACUGGUGUGGAAAGGAGUUGAUAUUGAGUUUGGGAGAAGUAUUAAGCAUUUGAGAAGCAUUGACAUUUCAAGCAAUCACUUGGUCAGUGAGAUUCCGGAAAAUAUUGCAAGUAUGACAAAAGUUGAACUCUCACAACCUAUCAAGAAACAAUCUGUGGGGAGAGCUUACUGAAAAUUUUGGUCAGUUGAAGAUGUUAGAAUCUCUUGACUUGUCAAGAAACCAGCUAUCUGGUAGAAUUCCAUCAAGCUUUUCGAGCUUGAAUUUUCUGAGUGUCUUGGACUUAUCAUACAAUAACUUGUCAGGAAGAACUCCACUAAGCGCCCAACUUCAGAGUUUUAACUCCUCUCAGUAUAUGGGAAAUCUUGGACUUUGUGGACCACCAGUGACACAGAAAUGCCCUGGAGAUUAAACAACUCAAGAUCCUGGAAUCACCAGUGGCAACAAAAGUGAUUGUAACACCGAAGGAGACAAUGAUGGCCUCAUAUACUUGGGAUUUUCUGCAAGUAUAGUGCUGGGUUUCCUCAUAGGAUUUUGGGGUGUCUAUGGGACUUAACUGCUUAAGAGUUCAUGGAGAUAUGCCUACUUACAAGUCCUGAAUGAUACAAAAGACUGGAUUUAUGUUACAACAGCACUGCACACGGAAAAAUUGCAGUGGAGACUUCAAAGAUAAAUGGUAAAAGCUAUGUAUUGCUCUGUUUCUGUUCCGUCAAAUUUAUAACGUAUCUACUAUCUACACAUAUGAGCAGCUUAUCUAUUUUUGCUUAAGAAUAUUGCAACAUAAUGUACCUCCUUUGCACUUGCAUAACAGUUCGAAAAUUUUGUCUUUUGACUCUCCUGUCCAGCUACGAUCUUAGAAGUUGCCAGCUUUCGGGGGAAUAAGCUUUCUCCAGAGCUUCAAGGAUUAAUGUGGGAGGUUUUUUGCUGUCUUUGAUUUUUUCUUUUCUUUCAACAAGUAUGACGCUUGUUUGUGGUAAUAAAUUAUGUGCACUGGAUGCCAUUUUCCAUGUAUUGUUCCCAAAAUAUCAUUUUCAUAUCCCCAUAAUAUGUCAUGCAACACCUCUGAUGAGAAGCUAUAUGCUGUAGUCAUUGUUUUUCAAAAUUUGUCCUGAAAAAUUUUUGUCCAAUGAAAACUGCGAAAUCUGAAAAUUUAGCCAUUAAUCUCAAGAACUUGGACUAAUUUUGUUCGAUGGAAAUUCGGAUAGAAGAACUAAUAACAGGAAAGAAAAUUGAAGCUUAACAUUAAUGCUGCACUGAUGAAACCAUGAAAGCAUUUUUAAAUCGAAGUGUUAUUACUUAAUUGAGGGUGGUUCCAUGAACUUUUGGGUAAUCAAUGUAAUUAAAUUUCACUCCACAAGAAUGAUUCCCCGAAGAAAAGGGAAAGAAAGAAAGAGAAGAAAAAAAAAAACACAAGCAAUUUUCGCAUGAAUGCUACCACAGUGCGCAGCUACGUCUUCAAACUAAUAAAAAGAAAAAAGGUAAAAUGCUCAGUAUGGAUUACAGCAAUUCCACAGAUCAGUCUACUAAGUCUUCCUCUAUUUCACUGCCUUCUUCCAUUCUAUUACAAGAAGAAAGAAAAGAUUUCCUUGAAUUCUUUUAUAGCAAGUGAAAAAAAUGUGACAUUGACCAGCACUUGUUCCCGUGGAAAAAGAGGACCUUUGACUUAUAUGUGCUAACUAAGCAAGUGAAAAUACUCUCAAGAACGUGGCUCAAAUGAUGCUUGGGGAUCCAGUAAUAAGAGCCAUAAGUGGGCUAAGCCAGCUAACUUGGGUGGAACUAUGGAUGCUUCUGUACAUGACAUGUCAUAUAAUAAGUGCUUAUGCAACAUGUAAAGUUGCCACUCAAUAUGUUGCUGGUGUAGCAUGUCUCAGAAUUAUGAGGGUCAGUUUUGAGAGUAUAAAAAGUUCAUUACCCCUCCACUCACCAACGUUGAUACAUGAGUGCGGUCACCCGUUGGUCCUUCUCUAGCAAGCCCUGAAUUGCUUAUAGCACAUUGGAGGAUUUGAAAUCUCGAUAUAUCACCUGUCCAUGUAACGCAAGGAAACAAGGUUCCACAAACAUAUAAUCAAGAAUCUGUCUUCUUACAAACAAAUAAUGAUCAUGUGAGGUCAGCAAGUGUAUCAUAUCCAUAUGCAUAUAAUUUCUGCGAUAUUUGGUAUCACAAGUAAAAUAAGGAUAUGAGGAUAUUAGUUUUUUCAAGCCCACAAGUAGAGCUGAACCAAGCCUGUGACUUCUUUAACUGUAACCACACCACUAAAGCAACACUCUAGUUUUCUGCACAUUUUCUAGUUGUGGGAAUUUUUUGUUUCUCCUGAAAUGACUCAAAUGUAGCAGCAAAGGUUGUUUGCUUUAAUCUAACAGAAAUGGUCUUUGCUCUGUAAUCUAAUUUUUACAGCCGUCAGACGAAAAAUCUUCAUCUGUACCUAACUUAUGGCAGUUACAUCACAUGAGUAAAACAUACCCUUGAAGUUCCAAAAACAGAGAUUGCAGUUUGAAAGUAGGAAACAAGAAAAAGAUAUAUAAAACAACAUAAAAUAUCAGCAGUCCCAGUUCAAAUCCUCGGUCAAUUUAAAAAGACGACGUAACUAAAAUUCUCACACAUUCGUAAAUAAAUACCAAUAUCUUCUGAAAUCACAGAAAUACCUUAAUCGAUUAUGUUAUUAGUUUCCAUUGGUUAAAUUAACAUAGCCAAAACUAGCAAGCCAGCACAGAGAAACCAUAUGUUCAAAUGAUGUGGAAGUUUUAAGUUAAAAACAAACUGACUAACAAUAGUAUGGUCAAAUCAGAUAAAAUGGAUAGAAACUAUAUGCACCUGGACUUCCAGUCCCUGGUGUAGAUAAGCCAAACCUUGAGCAGAACCAAGCAUAACCUGUAGUCUUGUCAUCCAAGGCAUUGUGGGCAAAUCCCUGUUGAAAGGAUGAUCUUCUAAGCUUCUAUUAGGCAUAUAUUCAUAUACCAGUAGCCGCUGUAUCCCUCUUUCUCCAUCUACAGAACAAUAUCCUAAAAGUUUUACUAGGUUUGGGUGAUUUAAGACGCCAAUAAAUUGAACUUCUGCAAGCCAUUAUUUAUUACCUUGUUUGAGAAAAGCUAAUAACCAAAAGCUUGGCAACCAAAAGAAUUAGAACAACAUGUAAGAGGCAUAUAAUGUUGUAAAAUGUGUGUAUAAAAAGGUCUCUGAUUACCCUUAAACAUCAUUAAAAUAUUUGCCAAUCUCAGAAGAUAAUGACAAAUAUACUACUAGAUGCAGCAAAAUCUAUGCGUCAACCAUAUAACUGGUUAAAAGAGUAAUAAGAUGUAACUUUUUGACAGACCGAUAUCUUGAGUGGAAAAGAAAACACGGGAAUUUUUUUCCCUGCAUUGCCAGAACCAUGUUUCAAUGACUUCAAUUCAUGCUUCACAUGAAAUUCUGAAAAAAUCAUCAUCAACAACAAGAAGCAUGAUAUUUCUCCAAUUCACUAGAUUCCAGAUCUAUCAUGAAUGUAAAAGGUGGCCAUUGAACAACCUGACCACACACAUAUGCAGAUAUUAUCAGCAAAGAAUAUUACAAAUUUUCCGACAAAGUGAUGCCAAAAUCCUGUGAGAUACUUUAGAGAAAAUCAGCAAUGAUACAUAUAGACAGCCAGGUUAUGUGAAACUAAAACAGAUAUCAUGUCCUUUCAUGAAUUUGGACUAAUAUUCAUUUCGUAACUAAGUGGAAACUGUAUUUACAGAUUAAAAAAUUCAACGUUUGUUGAGAACCAAAGAGUUAUGUCCAAGAGGAACACCCAAAAGAGAAGUGGGUGUUCCUCUUGGACACAAGUUCCCCCUACACAGAAACAAAAAGAACCCAUUUCACCAAAACAAAUUCCAAGUCCAAAGAUCCACAUAAACCAAAAAUUAAAUGCUACCCAACAUGGAAAAUAGGUACCUUUAGCACUAGGAACAUCUAUAACUCGAAUUACAAUUACUUAAACUGAUCACAAUUACAGAAUAAACAAGACAAUAAAAAACAUUACAAUUACUUAAACUGAUCACAAUUACAGAAUAAACAAGACAAUAAAAAACGUGCUAGCUCUCCUCAAAAACCAUGUACUUAUAAUCAUUUUGUGGUUCAAAAUCAGAAACGUGCCCUGGUUAGACGGCAAAGGCAAGUUCUUGAUGUCGAUAUUGAUAGCCUUGGUGGAGCUUUCGAACCCUAGUCUCCAACUUCUCUUCAUCAUCCCAAUCUUGCGGAUGAUGACGAGGAUCAGAUUGCUCAGGCGCCUUAGGGUUUUGUUGACAAGAAGAUGGAGACGGUGCGCUUGGCAUCAAGCGGAGGGUCUCCAAAUCCUUGCCUUUGCCGUGAGAUGGUUUCUUGAGCUUCUCCAGAAUUGCCAAGUCGCGCCCAUCAAGUUUGAUGUCGUCGAACAACUUGGAGGGAUCGCAAGUCAUGAUUUCAAGGAUGAAGACAGCUUCAAGGUCGUCCAGCGGAGGGCAAGGGAGUCCACCAAAGUCGUCAUCUUCAAGUUUGAUGUCGUCGAAUAAGUUGGAGGGAUCGCAACUCAUGGUUUCAAGGAUGAAGACAGCUUCAAGGUCGUCCAGCGGAGGGCAAGCGAGUCCACCAAAGUCGUCAUCGUCAACAGGAGGCUCUCGCUCGCAUCGCUCUUCCUUCAAAGCCGUCAUCUUGUCUGAAAGAGAAAAGUAGGGUCUUGACUCGAUCGUUUGAAAGAGAAAAGAUUACAGCCAAUUUUGGAAACCCUAAAUCACAGUAGCUAGUGUUUACAAAAGGCUCAGGGCUACAUACGUAUAUAUAGCUUUCUGUUUCCUAAUCUCACUGGGAAAAAAAAUAUUCAAAGAGAUAUAUGUUGUAAAAGUUUGAAGGUGGAGCCCACAGAGGAAGUUUCCUUGCAUCUUCCAGGAACUUUCUCUUUCCUGUAUUUAUUCCUGACAUCUUCCAGGAACUUUCCUUCCCUGUAUUUAUCAAUUCAUGAAGUUUCCUUGCAUCUUCCAGGAACCUUCCCUUUCCUGUAUUUUGCCUAAACAUUAGCCUAUAAAUAGGCAUACCAAUUGUAAAGGGGAGUGUGACCAACGGAGAAAAGAAAGAAAGGGGAGAAGAGAAAAAGAAGAGAGAAGAAGAAGAGAAAAGAAGAGAAAAAGAAGAAAGAAAAGAGAGAAGAAGAAAGAGAGAGAAAAUUCAGUGAGCCUCACAUAUUGUAAACUCUAAAGUUGUAGCCCUAUUAUUUUAUAUAGUGAAAAAGUUACUGCUGCUGCUCUCCGAGGACGUAGGCAUAGCCGAACCUCGUUAAAUGCUGUGUCUCAUCUACUUUACGUGCAGCUCAAUAUUCAUACAUAUUCCAGGUUAUUUUUAUAACACGUUAUCAGCACGAGAAGCUCUCAGGUAUAAUUUUUGUGUUGCACUAUUAUCUAUACUACUAACCACUAUUACGUGCUGCACUAUUCAUACUAAACAUAUUAUCAGUGGGAGACCGUUACUAAUACUAACAUUUUUCUUAUUUUAUUCAGUGGUGGUUUUAACCCCACAUUUAUUUACUGUAUGGUGUAGGUUUAUUAUCCAUACAUGCACCUUUACUUUAUCGCAAAUUUAUUUUACCGCAUAUUUAUUUUAUUUACUGUAUGGUGUAGGUUUAUUACCCAUACAACAGUAUUUAUUUAAAAGGGUGGUGCGGGUUUAUCGUCCACGCCUUUGCUUUCAUUUAAAUGUAUGGAGCAGAAUUAGUGCCCAUACAAGCACAAUAUACUUUACCGCACAUUUAAUUUUAUUUAAAGUAUGGUGCGGGAUUAACGUCCAUACAGCAAGCAAUUUAGUUUAUGAAUUUAAUUUACCGCACAUUUACAUUUAUUUAAAAGGGUGGUGCGGGUUUAUCGUCCACGCCUUUACUUUUAUUUAAAUGUAUGGAGCAGAAUUAAUGCCCAUACAAGCACAUUAACUUUAUGAAUUUAAUUUACCGCACAUUUACAUUUAUUUAAAGUGUGGUGCGGGUUUAUCGUCCAUACCAGUAAUUUAUUUAUCAGCAAUUUAUUUUAUGGAUUAAUUGUGCUGUAUGAUAAGUUUUUCCAGUAUGCAGAUCAGGACCAAAAGUUCCUUGAUCCUCAUCAUACAAUUACAUCAGGACUUGAAGAUCCUUGAUGAUGAUAUUAAUAUGAGAGCUGGCAGUCUCUCCGGUACUGUAUUUGUAAACAUGUGAUCGGACUUAAGGGUCCUUGAUCCCUGACAUGUAAAUAAGGACUUAGAGUUCCUUAAUGAUGUAACAGUACCGUAUUGGUUCAUGAUGCCGUACACAUUGAUGAUAACUGUACUGGCAGAUGAAUAGAUACGUAUUCAUGACUUGAUGAAUAGUACUAUUCACAUGAAUAGUGACGUAUGCAUAAAUAUUAACCAUUUUGGGUAAACCGUCACUAUAUACAAAAGGGAACCUGCAGUUUCAUGGUGCCGUACACAUGGAUGAUAACUGUACUGGCAGAUAAAUAGAUACGUAUUCAUGAUUUGAUGAAUAGUACUAUUCACAUGAAUAUGACGUAUGCUUAAAUAUUAACCAUUUUGGGUAAACCGUCACUAUAUACAAAAGGGAACCUGCAGUUCCUUAAACUCAUGGAUGAGCAAUUAAAUGAGAUGCCAGAAGUUCCUCAAAAUAUGGACAAUUAUGUAAGGGCUUGAAGUCCCGAAAUAUGUACAGAAAAUUGUAAAAAUGUCCAUACCAUGAGAAUAUGUGGCUUUGGCCUGAAGUUCAAAAUUUAACAGUGUUGAGAACCUGAAGUUCCAACAAUUAAAUGGACAACUCUUGAGGUAUUAUUGCAAAUUGUGGUAUGCCACAUAUUUCUUUGGCAUAAGAAGAUGAUGAAUUUAAUAAAGUUCGAUUUUGUUAUAAUCGACACCUCAAGGAAGAAAUAUAUCUUGUGAAUUCCGGUUGUUAAGAAUACACCGCGAAAUGGAUAAUAUCAAUAUAAACCUCAAAUAAUGAAUUGAGGCUCCCCACAUAUUUUGUUAUAUCUGGGCCGGAAGCCCAUGGAUCCAAAUAUAUGAGAGAUCCUGAACUUGAAGUUGUGGGUAUAUAGUAGUUAAUGCUCUUCACUACUAUAUUGCGAUAUUAUCAUGGCUUUUAAUCAAUUCAUAUUUCAUGUCCAUUUGAAAAGGGCAAAUAAAUUCUGAGUUUGUGCCAAGGCCAUAAGUUCCGGGCUACCAUGCGAUAAAAUAUGAAAUUUGGGAGAGACAAUGUAGUUAUUUGAACCUAUAAGGCACAAGGUUCCAAAUCGUCAUUUUGAAAAGACGUAAAAACCACAGGUGCAAGUUUAAGAAUAUGCGCAAUUAUUAUAACAGGAACAUAUAACAGAUAGAUUUUUUCCACCUGCAAUGAAGGUGCAGGCCCUGUGAAAUCUAUAAAAAUUACAUUAUGUUCUGGAAGCCUCUGCAGGAAGAUGACGACGCCUCUUAAGCUUAGCCAUGAGCUUCUCGUGGUCUCCCAAAAUUCUUUCAUUGGAGACCUGCAGCAUGUCUAGCCUUCUCAGUGUAUCAACAGAGUACGAACUCACCAGUUUCAACAAGGAAUUAUUCUCUCCUUUAAGUUUCUCAACCUCCUGUUGAGACUCAUGAAGCAUUCUUUGAAGAGACGAAUUUUCAGUUGUCAGCUUCUCAACCUCGUUUGCUCUAGCACGCAAACGAUCAGCCAUGUUAGAAACAGAAGCAGCACUCUGAAUGCUAAAAGCCAUUGAGUCAUCAAUAGCCUCUUCCUCUGAUCUCCCUGUCAACAACAUUUCAUCCAUUGGAGUAAUGAAAUUCCUAGCUACUAUGACAGCAGUAGCAUCAUUCAUCAUCACAGAAUCAUUAACUGUGAGAUGACGAUUUUUGGAUACAAAGGAUGGACGCCAAACUUGGGCGUCAUUGGUUGUUGUGGGAGCAUCAUUUAAAUUGAAAUAAUUUGGGCAGGAAGAAGAGGGAGCCAUUUUUUUUUUAAGAAAGUUUCGAAGAAAGUCUUAAAAAAACUAAAGGCUCGGAAAAUGAAGGAAGUUGAGUUGAAACGCAGUUUGCAAAGGCAAUAUCUAUAGACGAAAAUGUGGCAACUUUUCAGGACCCCAAUAUCUUCUCGAAUCCCCAUAUUAUCUUUUUCUUUCCCAGAGUCCAAAACUUCACGUGGCCUCUAAUAAUGCUUGUCGGCACUUUCGGCGUUUUUCAAAGUAUUAUUUUCAAAGCCGAUCUUGCUUUACGGAUUUCACGGAGCUACUUUUUCAAAAGUAUCCCGAGAAUCUCGCAAUUUUCCUAUGGUUAAUUUGAAAUUCACCGGUUCUACCUAUUCAUUGUAUUUGUGUAUAAAUGUGUUACUAACGAAAUUUUCUCUGCAGAAGACAUCCAGUUUACUCCAUACCUAGUGAUGCGAUAUCUACUUGUUUUUCUUAUCAGUAAGCACUCAAUAUGCCCGAGAAGCAAGACUAUCUCUGAUCAUCCAUUCAGGAAGCAAGACUAUCCCUGAUCAUCAGGGAACUGUGAAGGCGACCUUAUGCUCUAAUCUCCUGAGGUCCUUCUAGACUAGGAGAAAUGAGAGCUUGUUAUCUGCUCCCACCAGCUUCCUUCCUUGCUUGCUUACCUUACCUUGCAAUCAAUAUCACAAUUUUUGUAUCUUUUCUUUCUUUUUAUAACUCUCUGUUCAUAAGGGAUUUUAUUUCUUUAGAAUGAACAUCCGAAGAAAGAAUCCAUGCAGUGAUCCUAACUCUGAGAGUUAUUUGUUUUUGACAGAGAAAAGAAUUGUGAUUUUUGCUCUUGCAGGAUAUAACAAGAUCAUCAAGCGAUACUUUAUAUUUACUGGGCCGAUACGAGCUUGAAUGAUACUUGAGAAAAGUUUCUCCCACCUAAGGAUGUAAGCAAUACUUGUGUUAUUUUAUGCUUAUAUACCUAUUUGAUAUUUUGUCUUGAAAGGUAACCAAAUGGGGAGAUAAGUCCGUUCCAAAAGAAUGGCUUGUAUGUAUCCAUGAAUUAUUAACGCAAAUUUUACAGAUUGCAAGUUGGAUACAUUGAUAAUACACUGCACAGAUUAAAGUCCCAUAAGAACAGAAUAUGGGUAUAGCAGUGAUCAAUAUGAUGCACGCCUGUUGCGUAGCAAAUGAUGUGGAUUGAAGUCCCGAAAAGACAAUCCUUUGACAUGUCAAUAUUGAUAUUAUGCACGCCUAAUGCGUAGCAAAUUAUAUGGGUUAAAGUCCCAUAAUAUGGGUUAAAGUCCCAGAAAUUAAUUGACAUGUAUGUAUUAAUCUGUGGCAUGCCUGUAGCAUGACAGAUAUAUGGGUUCUAAAUGUUCCAACUCUCUAAAUAGAGAUUAUCCACGCCCUACUGUAAAAUAACGCUCCAUUGGAGGUUAUAAUCCACAUUCUCACAUAAUAAAAGCCCCAUGAAGUGGCUUGGGUACCCAAAAGCAAAGAAAUGCUUAUAAUUGAUGCAUGCGCAUGCACAUGAGAAUGGUGAGAUCAUGAAUUGAUGAAUGACAAUUUUUGGUUUUGGAGUAGCUACUCAAAUUAUCAAUGGGCUGUGUUGAUUGGAACCACGUUCAAUUAUUAAAUGUCGACAAUAUCAUUGGCCAAAAUGGAACGAGGUAAUUCCAUUAUAAAUGAGAAUGAACGUGAAAGAACAAACCCACAAUACGAACCCCAAAAUUUGUUAAUACUGAAAGGUAUACUUGGGUGUUCGGAAUAAAAGGGAAUAUACCUACUUUGUAUGACACCCUGUUUCUGGCAGAAACAAGGAAUGUUGGGUUUUCUCCAUAUUUACAGAUUCAAUUGUGCCCCCCCUUAUUACACAAUUACGGAGACCAACAUAUUAUCUUUAAGGGUUAUUAAAUGCACGGAGCAUAUCGCCAGAAGCGAUUUCCUAAAGAUGUAUAAAUAGCUGGGUAAAAGCUAUAUAAUGUGUCAUAAAGCUUAAUCCCUUUUAGACAAAAUCCGUUGAGAGGAUUGAUAUUGCAUAAAGCAAGUCCCUAAAGGACAUGUGCUUGAAGCACAAAAUUUGUACUCAAUAUUAAUAUGCAUAAAUUACCUCAGUGAAUACAUUGAUUAUAAUGUGAUUGCAACACAUUAAGGCUUCUGCAGAAUUCAUGAAAUAUUUGUCUCGAUCGAGCAUUAUGCCAACGAGAUUCUUGCUUAUACUAAGAAAGUAUUAAAGUAUUUUUAUGAGGAUUAUCCGUUGGACACUUUAAUGAUUUUCCGGAAGUAUAUUGGACCGGACAUCAUAUUUUCCAGAUAGGGCUCAACUCCAUCACCAUCAUUUUGGGAUGAUGUGAGGUAUAUUUGAUGCUAUCUAAGCAUAACACCAUAUACGGGCAUAUUUUUUUAGUGAACUUAUAAAUAGCCCAAGUGUUCUAAGAUAUGCGGACUCAGGAAAUCUCUAUGGUCGCUUAUUGGAAAAAGUUAGUCAUGAAGUUUUCAGGGGGAGAUAUUCAUCAGGGGGAGCAUGGUAUUAAUAAAGACCUUCAUACACUAUUGACUCACAGCAGCAGUGUCAACUAUGAUAUUCAGACAAAUGAUCAACAGUAUGGCUUAAAGAUAUUUUGUCAAGCAUCAGGGGGAGCGUGCUGUCAAUACAGACCCUUACACACUGUACUCUUUUUCCUUCGUCCAGGUUUUUAUCCCACUGGGUUUUUCCUGGCAAGGUUUUAACGAGGCAGUGUCGCACGCGCGUCAAUAUACACAGAAUUUUAUGUUACACGUGAUUAUGUACUCUUUUCCCUUCGACCAGUUUUUGUCCCACUGGGUUUUUACUGGCAAGAUUUUUAACGAUGCAUAUUCCAUAUCAUUUGUGGUCUCCAAGGGGGAGUGUUGUAAAAGUUUGAAGGUGGAGCCCACAGAGAAAGUUUCCUUGCAUCUUCCAGGAACUUUCCUUCCCUGUAUUUAUCAAUUCAGGAAGUUUCUUGCAUCUUCCAAGAACCUUCCCUUCCCUGUAUUUUGCCUAAACAUUAGCCUAUAAAUAGGCAUACCAAUUGUAAAGGGGAGUGUGACCAACGGAGAAAAGAAAGAAAGGGGAGAAGAGAAAAAGAAGAGAGAAGAAGAAGAGAAAAGAAGAGAAAAAGAAGAAAGAAAAGAGAGAAAAAGAAAGAGAGAGAAAAUUCAGUGAGCCUCACAUAUUGUAAACUCUAAAGUUGUAGCCCUAUUAUUUUAUAUAGUGAAAAAGUUACUGCUGCUGCUCUCCGAGGACGUAGGCAUAGCCGAACCUCGUUAAAUGCUGUGUCUCAUCUACUUUACGUGCAGCUCAAUAUUCAUACAUAUUCCAGGUUAUUUUUAUAACAAUAUAAACAUUAUUUGAGCAAAAUUAGAGGCUAAAUAAACCAAAAAAGUACUUUGGUAAUGAAAGCAUUAAAGUAUUCGGCUGUAGAUAUGGUAUAUGAGGUGGGCUGCUUUCUAGAAAAAUGGGUGGACUAUUAUGUAAUUUUCCUAAAUUGAACUUACAAAACUAAGCCUAACUUGUCUCUCGCUAAAGUAAGCACUUGGCUAAAACCCACUCUAGCUCAAGUAUGAAUCCACCUUUGGAUAUACAUGUGUGUGUGUAAUGUUCUCAUAUGAGAUUUAUUUAUUUUUUUUUAUAAAUGUGUAAUAGUAAUAUAAUUUUUUAUAUAAAAAAAAAAUCUAGAAUAGAUAUUCAUCAAACAUUCAUGUUUUGCAUCUUAUUGUUACAUAAACUGAAAUUCAAUUUAUAUUAAUUUACAAUCAGUACUACUUAAAAUAAACCAAAAAUACUGUAACCCCGAAAUUAUGAAAUAACAUGGGAUCUACCAUCAACAUCUAACUGCUUGUUGAAUGUAAUCAAAUUCUGCAGACACUGUAUUUAAUUUCUGUCAAACAAAACUUGAUUAGACAUUGAGUGUAUGGUUUCAUGACUUGCUUAUCUGCCAAAUCUAUAAGACCAGCGAAUAGAAUUUUCUAAACUACAAAUACAUAUAUAACUGCAUAAAGACGCAUAAACAGUGAUGGAUAUCCAUAGGCAAGUAAAUAGGAACAAAACAGAGAAACAGAGAGAGAGAGAGAGGGAGAGAUAAGAGACCAGGUUUUCCACACAAAACUGGUGCUUGUUUAGUGUUUAGGGUUUAGGGUAAUAAAUUAUGUGCACCGACGUGAGGCGUAAAAAAGGAAUGCCAUUUUCCAUGUAUUAUUCUCAAAAUAUCAUCUUCAUAUCCCCAUAAUAUUUCAUGCAACUCCUCUGAUGAGAAGAUACAUGGCAUAGUCCUAGUUUUUCAAAAUUUGUCCUGACACAUUGUUCUCUAAUGAAAACUGUAAAAUCUGAAAACUUAGCUACUACUUUCAAGAACUUUGAUUAAUUUUGUUUGGAUGGGAAUUCGGAUAGAAAAAUUAAACAGGCGAGAAAUUGGAGUAUAAUGCUGCACUGAUGAAAUCAUGAAAGCAUAUUUCAAAUCAAGUAUUGUUACUUAAUUGAGGGAGGUUCCAUGAACUUUUGGCUAAUCAAUGUAAUUAAAUUUCACUCCAAAAGAAUGAUUCCCAGAAGAAAAGGGAAAGAAAGGGAAAAAAAUAACAAGCAAUUUUCACAUGAAUGCUACCACAGUGCGCAGCUAUGUCUUCAAACUAAUAAAAAGAUAAAAGGUAAAAGGCUCAGUAUGGAGAUUUACAGCGGUUCCACAGAUCAGUCUACUGGGUCUCCCCUAUUUCACUGCCGCCUUCUUCCAUUCUAGAAUUUUACAAUAAGAAAAUAAAAGAUUCCUUGAUUUCUUGUGCUUCAGGACCUCAGAAAUUUACAUAGUUCCCGGAUUUGACAGCUACCGAUGAAUCGAGGCUCGCACCUGAAAGUCCCCGAAAAAAGAUUUAAAGGGUUAACUGCAACCCUGCUAUACUUGCUUAAUAAUAUCCAACCAUUUAAACCUGCUCAAAAAAUUUCAAAAGAAUUUGGUCACAACAGAAAGUGGUAUCUAUAAUAAUGCUCUCUUAUAUCAAGUCUACUUGGGUUUCCGCUUAGCCAAUUUAGACCCAGAUGCCUCAAAACUUCUAUUUUCAGAACUGGUUCCCGCUUCUGAAUCUUGUAGAGCUUGCUUCAAGACCUCUACCACCUCACUCAUUGUUGGUCGGUCUUUUGCAUUCUUGUUCAGACAACUAUCUGCCAACUUGGCAAGUUUUCGAGCAGCAGUAAGAGAAUACUGACCUCUCAGCAAUGGAUCUAUUAUCAUGCUGAACCUUUUACCGUCAGCCGGGAACUGUUUAACCCAAUAAAGAAGUUUCUGUUCCGCUGGCGGGCGGUUCUUGUCCAAGACACGCCUGCCUGUGAGGAUCUCAUAAAGCACCACACCGAAACUCCAUAAAUCACUAUGCGUUGAAAGAUGGCCUGUUUCAAUAUAUUCUGGGGCAGCAUAUCCAUAAGUCCCUACCACCUGAAAACAAAACCAAAGACAAUAUGCAUAAGUGAUAUUGUAGGACACCAACAGACAAUUAUAAUUUUCAUAAUUAAUCCUACGUUUCUUUCCAAGAAUGAUGCACUUCAAAGAAGGUGGCCAACCAUUAAACGGGGACAUCAAGGCCAUGUUUCGAAGGUAGGGCUGGACAUGACAAAUUCAAUUCAAAUGGACAACUAGUCUUCCCUAAUGUUUAGUGAACAAUGAUGGGACUGCACUAUUAGAUUGGACAAAGUCCUACAGGGUGGGUCCCCAUGAGACUCGCGUGGACUUGGUCCCAGUCCUGUCUACUGUGGUGCUCCAAAUGAGGCACAAGUACAUUUCAUCAGUAGUUCGGGGCCAAUUCAAUUAAGUCAUUGAAGUCAACAUAAAGAACUUGUGGCAUGUGUAAGGGGAAGAAAAAAAAUAAGGAACUUGUAGAAAAAUGUGACAUUGACCAGCACUUGUUCCCGGUUACAUAUUCAGCCUCUGCAGUUGAUAAAGCAACACUACUUUGCUUUACUGAGUCCCAAGAAAAUGCACCACUGCCAAAUGAAAAGAGGACCUUUGACAUAAAUGUGCUAACUAAGCAAGUACUCUCAAGAAUGCGGCUCAGAUGAUGCUUGGGGAUCCAGUAAUAAGAACCAUAAGUGGGCUAAGCCAGCUAACUUGGGUGGAACUAUGGAUGCUUGUGUACAUGACAUGUAAUACUAAAGUUGCAUAAUAAGCGCUUAUGCUACAUGUAAAGUUGCCACUCCCUCAGAAUUAUGAGGGUCAGUUUUGGGAGUAUAAAAAGUCUAUUACCCCUCCACUCACCGAUGUUGAUACAUGAGUGCGGUCACCCGUUGGUCCUUCUCUAGCAAGCCCGAAGUCUGAGAGCUUUGCCCUGAAUUGCUCAUCCAAUAGCACAUUGGAGGAUUUGAAAUCUCGAUAUAUCACCUGUCCAUGUAACACAAGAAAACAAGGUUCAACAAACAUAUAAUCAAGAAUCUGUCUUCUUACAAACAAAAAAUGAUCAUGUGAGGUCAGCAAGUGUGUCAUAUCCAUAUGCAUAUAAUUUCUGCAAUAUUUGGAUAUCAGAAGUAAAAUAAGGAUAUGAGGAUAUUAGUUUUUUCAAGCCCACAAGUAGAGCUGAACCAAGCCUGUGACUUCUUUAACUGUAACCCCACCACUAAAGCAACACAUUCUAGUAUUCUGCACAUUUUCUAGUUGUGGGAAUUUUUUGUUUCUCCUGAAAUGACUCAAAUGUAGCAGCAAAGGUUGUUUGCUUUAAUCUAACAGAAAUGGUCCUUGCUCUGUAAUUUAAUUUUUAUAGCCGUCAGAUGAAAAAACUUCAUCUGUACCUAACUUAUGGCAGUUACAUUACAUGAGUGGAACAUAUUCUUUAAGUUCCAAAAGCAGAGAUUGCAGUUUGAAAGUAGGAGACAAGAAAAAGAUAUAUAACACAACAUGAAAUAUCAGCAGUCACAGUUCAAAUCCUCAGUCAAUUUAAAAGGACGACCUAACUAAAAUUCUCACACAUUCGUAAAUAAAUACCAAUAUCUUCUGAAAUCACAGAAAUACCUUAAUCGAUUAUUGUAUUAGUUUCCAUUGGUUAAAUUAACAAAGCCAAAACUAGCAAGCCGGCAUAGAGGAGCCAUAUCUUCAAAUGAUGUGGAAGUUUUAAGUUAAAAACUAACUGACUAACAAUAGUAUGGUCAAAUCAGAUAAAAUGGAUAGAAACUAUAUGCACCUGGACUUCCAGUCCCUGGUGUAGAUAAGCCAAUCCUUCAGCAGAACCAAGCAUAACCUGUAGUCUUGUCAUCCAAGGCAUUGUGGGCAAAGCCCUGUUGAAAAGAUGAUCUUCUAAGCUUCUAUUAGGCAUAUAUUCAUAUACCAGUAGCCGUUGUAUACCUCUUUCUCCAUCUACAGAACAAUAUCCUAAAAGUUUUACUAGAUUUGGAUGAUUUACGACACCAAGAAAUUGAACUUCCGCAAGCCAUUCUUUAUGACCCUGUUUGAGAAAAGCUAAACACCAUAAGCUUCACAACCAAAAGAAUCAGAACAACAUGUAAGAGGCAUAUAAUGUUGUAAAAUGUGUGUAUAAAAGGGUCUCUGAUUAAUCUCAAAUUUCAUUAAAAUAUUUGCCAAUCUCAGAAGGUAAUGACAAAUAUACCACUAGAUUCUGCAAAAUCUGUGCGUCCACCAUAUAUAUAACUGGUUAAAAGAGUAAUAAGAUGUAACUUUUAGACAGACCAAUAUCUUUUAGUUGCUAAACCAUUACCUUCAAUGAAAAACUGUUCCAAUUCUUGUUCUUGAGUUAGCAAAUCAAGGAAUUAAACAUCAAUUCCGUUAGCAUUUCAAGCAUUUAUCUGUCAUUCAUUUAACAAAUGCCAUUCAAGCACCACAUGGAAAUGAAUAUCAAUCAAUUCCAUUUGCCUGAUUUUAAGCAAGCACUUUUCUUCCUCUUCUUGCUAACUUUUGUCACCAACUUACUGCAUCCUUGCUCAUUGGUACACGACAAUAUCCUCUCAAUAUUCCUACACUUCCAGCACCAGAUGGAUUCCAAAGUCCAAAUUUGUCAUCUCCCUAUGUUGGGGUUUCAGCGAUGUCUAGAUCACACAACUUCCUUGACUUUAUCAAAAGAAGGCACUCAGUUUUCUUUCACCCUCAAUAGCUUAAUCACUAUCUCGGAUUUAGUCUACAUCAUGCCCCCACUUGCUUAUAAUUUAUUCUGCUUCUUUGUGACUUUUACUUCAUUCCUAGAUUCAGAUAGAUUUCAAAAGCAUAAUUUAGCCCCCUCGCUUUCUCGAUUCCAAGUGCCGUAUAAUUGCUCCCCGUCCCCAUCCCCACCACGCCUACCAUGUAUAAUCUUAUUUAAACAAAUACGCAGUAACAUAAGAUAUGAUUUAUUUAUAAUAAGUUCAAAUCUAAGUUCAACUAGCAACCUAAUUAAGAAACAUAUUAAAUCCCUGAGCGAAUAAAAAAAUUCUAUUAAACAAUCACAUACGCACUAAUCAAUUAUAAUUAAAUGAUAUUUAAUUAGAAUAAAUAGAAAAGUACACAGUCCUCUACUGGAAGUAAAUUCAACAUUCAAAACACACACCAUUGGAAUUCACCAUCCAAAUACAAUAUGUCAUUCAAUGCCACCAUCACAAUCAAUCUAACAUCCAACAAUAGCACCAAACAAAUAACAAUACCUCCCAACCAAGUAGAUGUGGAAAAGAAAAACAGAGAAACAGACAGAAAAAUUGGAAUGGAAAAACAUAAACAGAGAAAAUUAAUGAAGAUAUAUCGAACCUGUAAGCUACGCGGGUUUAACCUUUUAAUGGCAACUACAAUCGGACUUCCUUGACCAUGUUCAGGGCUAAUUGUUCCUUUAUAUACACUCCCGAAACCUCCUUCCCCAAGCUUUAGCAACCUGUUGAAACCAUUUGUUGCUUCCCUCAGCUCUUGAUAAGAGAAAACUCUCAAAUUGUGCUCCUUUUCUUUGUACAAUUCUGGUAUGCUCCUUGGUGAUGGUAAGGAACUUGAAGAUUUUGUUGCACGAUCUAAAACCAAAUCGCUUGAUUUGCUUUGGUUUCUCAAUUCUGGAGCGGAUUGUGCUCCUUGCUUCUUGCUCUUGGUUUUGUCCUUGAAUGGAAAAAAGCACUUCAUUUCUUAAUUAAGCUCUAAAACAAUAAAUAAAAGUCUCAAGACCUCAGAUGGUAUAUAUAUGUAGUUGUAAAAAUGCUAACUUGAAUUCAUUGGGUGAAAAACAGAGAUGAGAAAACUAGAAGAAAUGGCUGAAAUUAGAUGGGAAGGGAUGAAUAGAAUUGGAAAAGAAAACCCAGAAAGAAAAUAAGGGAGGCUAGUGGAAAUUGUGGUCAACUAACAGACCCCAGAAAGCUAAGAAAGGUCAACCAAACAGAGGGCAAAUGAAGACGCAAUUGGAAAUUGAAGGAAGUGAAGCAAAUUAUAUAGGAGAUGAAGCAAAGAAAGAAAACUCCAGCUGGUAAUUGGAGACAGAGAGGCUGAAAAAAGACAAAGCCAGAUCGAUUUUGAAGUGAAAGGAACAGACAUAAAUUGAACGAGAAAGUUCUGAGAAUGGCCUUAAAGAUAAAAGAAAUGGGAAAAUCUUAAAACAAAGAAGCAAAACCUCGUUUUGGAGAUGCACAGAGAGAGAGAGAAGAGUGUCGUGUAUGAAACGAAAAACAUGAACAGGCAGAAAGGGACAGGACUAAACACAGGCAGAUUAUUCUACCUACGCAAAAAUGAAAGACCAAGAAAACGUUUCAAACCUUUUGAGCCUUUCCUAUCUCUUCGUUCCCAUUUCGUGUCUAAAAGUCAGAGACUCAUAGCGCGUUGGGUUUGGUUUCGUUUUGGUCUCUCCACAACAGAGAGAGCCUUGACUUCAGAUUUUUCCUUAAUCGUGUUGGUUUUAUUCAAUCAGACCAAAACCCAAUAGAGCAUAUCAGAAGAGACAGUAAAGAGACAUUCUACACACAAAAAAAGGCCAAAAACAAUGGAAAUGGAGACAGGACAGGGCAGGAUACUGUUGGGCUUAAAUAUUUAUUUAUUGUGAAGUAAGAAGUGGGUUGUCUUCUAUUAAUAAUUUCUUUUUCAGUUCGUAUUAAAAUAUAUAUAUAUAUAUAUAUAUAUAUAUAUAUAUUGGUUGAACCAUUAAAGCAUAAGGAGAUGCAGCUGCAUCUUCUCUCGUCGGAAAAAUUAUGGUAAGUGCUUUAAAUUGCUCUUAACUGAUGUACAGAUUAACAUUAUUUUCAUUUUCAACGUAAAUAAGAAAGUACCCCCCAUUUGAAUUCAAAUAAAAAUACUAUAAAAUCAAAUUCCCACCAAAUCAAAAUAUGAAAAAUCUGUUUUAGUGAAAAAUACGAUUUAGGCUAAAAAUAGUGGCUCAUUAAGUCAAUAUAUACUUCAUACUAAGAUCUCAUAAAAUCAAGUUUUCUUAUUUGAUGUGUAAGGAAUAAAAACUGUCAAAAAUUAUCUUAAAAAAAUAAUUAUUCCAAAAAAUCAUGUUUCAUACUUAAUUAAUAUUGCACAUUCAUUAAAAAAAUUCUUAGUAUGCCAGUGUAUAUAUAUAUAUUUCUUGUUUAGUUUUCUUGUGCUUUGCUUUCUGAGCAAUGCAAAUAUGAAAUGAACCAGAGUAAUGGUGGAGGAGAUGAGGCCUGCCAACGCUUCGUCAGUGCUGACUACGGGGCCGUUCACAUUUAAGAUAAGAGUGUACUGAUGUUGACUGACGCAUGCAUCAAGUCAUUGUAGUCGUGUGCAUGAGGACUAGUCAAAUGAAAUGGAGGCUACUUCUAGUGACGGGAAAUUUCAUUUUACUACUCGAAAAUUUAUUACUUAAAUUUUACGUAAGUAUUGAUUUUACUACCACUUUCGUAUUUCGGUUAAUACGUAUCUACUAUUAAUAUCUUGGAAAAAAGGUAAGCUUAGCUUAACUAUUGACCCAUUAUUAAGGUAAACGAAUACAAUUAUGGAUGCAUGAAAGAUGUAUGACCCAACGAAUGAUCUUUAUUAGAUAGUAAACGGUGAACUUCAGUAAAUUUUAGGGUACUAAUUUGAAAAGUACUUACUCAAUAAUUUUUUUUAAAAUGGUAAUUAAAUCCAAGCUUUGGAAUACAAGUUGAAUGCAUGGUUUUGGUUCAUGGUCAAGAAUUGACCAGUAACCCUAAAAAAAUUUGAAACCCAAUUACUUCAUCAAUGGACCAAGAAAACUGAAAUUAUAACAAGUUUUUGGAAGCUCAUAAAAUUAUAUUUCAGGAAAAAUUUAAUGAAUUUGUUUUUACAUCAGCGAUGGGUGAAAAUGAUGUUCUCUUGACCGUAAUUACAAGUAACUUGACCAUAGGUAUCCCUAGAAGGGCAUAAAACUCUUUCUUUGACCAGGUCUUUACUUUGGGUCACUUGUAGGAUCAUGAUGUGACGAGGUUUGGUCAAGUGUCCAAGUCCUCUUGUGUCUUGAAAACCCUUUUUUUCAAAGAACAAAAAAUAUUAUUAGUUAAAAUAAGCGAUAUUAGAGGAGGGACUUAAAACAUCUUCCUUUAGUCCAUGUAGUAAAUCAAACGAGCCCUAAAUAUGUUUUUGUUUUUGUUACAAUUCUUUGCCGCACAUAAAAAGUAAUGAACGCUAUUAAGAGAUUUUUGCAUGGGGUGGAUAUUUACAUCUUUUGCAAAACCUUCCUUGGGUUUCCCUUACCCAUGCUUCAUGUUGGUAAAACCCCUCUUUUAAAGUUUUAUAAUAAUGAGAACACUGUAAGUGAAAUGUUAUGUUGGUACUCACGUGAUGUUACUCACGUGAUGUUCCUAAUGAUUUCAUAUUAUAACAUAUAUAUUUAUAUGUUAAUAUUAUAUUGAUUGGCGGACCCACAUAUACUCAAGUGAAAUGUUAUAUUUAUAUGUUAUUGGGAAAAAGCUUUGAAGUCGCCGAGUUUGCCACUCAGCUCUGCCUUGGGGUGCCCACCUCACCCGUUCAAAUAGAUGCCUCAGCAACCUGGCGACAUGUUCUUUUCUGUGUUGCGCUCUGCGCAAUGCGUGUUUUCUUCUUUUAAUCCUGGCCACACGAAAAGGAAGAGUAAUGCUAUUUAUACGGCAACUAAUAUGGUUAUGUCACAUCAAUUAAUAAAAUUAGUUGAUGUGAAAUUAUUAAUUUUAUUUAUUAUUUUGAAAUUGAUUCUUUGGUCUGUCAAGAUAAGUUUUUCCUUGAUAUUGCUUUGCUCAUUCAUGUCCACCAACACAAGAAGCCGUCCAUAUCAAAAAGGUAGAACAAUCAAAGUUGCAAAGCUAGAAUUAAAUAACGCAGUCGAUAUCGAAAAGGUGGAGGAAAAUCCAGAUUUAUGAAGAAUCUUUAUGGGAAGAACAUUGAGAUUUUUAGGAAAAAUAAAUCUUUAACUAUCUUUUUAGACAAAUUUUAGGGAGGAAUUAGAAAUACAACUUCAAUUAUGCUCUCUAUUCACCUCUUAAAAUAGGAAGACUUUUAGGAGCUCCUAAAUUCUAGGAGAGAGAAAGGACUCCUAGUGACUACUUAUAAUUUAAUGUUGCUUUAUUUUAAGAGUAUUUUAAACCUUUAAUUAAUGAUUUAUUUUUAUUUUUUCAUAAUAGAGAUUGACUAAUUAAAAAAUAGUAACAUUUAUGACUCCCUAAACUAGAGAGUAUGAUUAGAGUUAAAAUUUUAUAGAGAGUUCUUAAAAUAGUUUUUAUAUCUUUUUAGCUAAAUUUUAACUAAAAAAUAGAGAACAUGAUUGUAAAUGCCUUAAAAGGAGAGGAUUUGUCUAAUGACAUAUUCAUUACAGUAAGUCCCCAAACGAACUAAUCCAAACAUGCUCCUACCUUAGUUUCUUUCCAAGGGUAAUCCAAAUCAGAGCUACAAAAAUAUCGGCGAAACAUUCCAAAGAAAAACAAAUCAUCAGCACUCAAAAAAUAAGUUGCCCCUUACAUGAGGUUAGGGUCAUCCCCAUUAGUCUAAUUAUGCUUUAACUCUAUGCUCAUGGCAUUUUAGAUAAUUAUUAUCUCACUUAUCCAAUUGGCACUGCCCAAGAGGUUUUCUAGAUCAAGACAACACAAUUAUGCAGAGGAAGUUUUGCAGCCUGCUGUGAUGGGUAACCUUUUGCAGUCAAAGAACAAUGAAGAACCUUAUUGUGCACAGUUCCCUAUCCACGAGCUUCUAGUGUAAUUAAAUUUAUUAUAAAGAUGAAUUGGCACCUGAAAAAUGGCUCCUUUACGGAAACAUCAUUUUUAUCACCUUGGUAAGGUGUCAGUUGUAACUACAUUAAAAAUGUUAACUUACUGUUUUAAACUGGAAGAACAUCAAAAUGGGUAGAAACAAAUCCAAUAUUUUUGCACCAGAUUGCUUCAAAGAUUGAGAAAUCUUUGAGAUCAAUGGCUUUGAUUUACUUGUUGAUUGACGUAAAAGAAGCAAUUUGGUGCUCAAUCCCCAAAAAACCCAAGAAAGCCAUUUGACCUUUCUAUAGCUUAUGCCAUCUAAAUUUCUAAAAUUUUUGUAGUUGUCGCAUAAGGUGUUAAGCUAGCGUGGUCAAUUAAGUGUGUUCAAAUAGCAUUACUGAAAGAGAAAACCUGAAGCCUUAUUUCCACAUAAUGGAAGUGCGUGGUCUUUGAGUCCAAGUUGGAAUUAAAUGGAUCAAGGGAUGCCUUGCGUUGCAUUGAAGUCUUAAUUCUUGACGAAGCUUUGCAUGCUAUUUAGUCUUGUGGCAGAUCCAUCCCUCUCCUCCAAGUUUGAAUGUAUUUUUUUUUUCUUAUGGUUUUUUUUAUCUUAUUUUUUAUAUAUUUUAUAAUAUGUAUUUGGUUAUCUUUGUAUAUGAUUUGUUUGUUUAAUAUUUGAGGAGAAAAAGCUUGUGCGCCGCAUGACUCAAGGUAUGAUGAAUUAUAAUUUGUUUGUUUAAUUGAUAACUUGAUUUGCAUUUUGAUUAGAUUAAUUGAUAUUGAUUUUCGUGAGAUUAAUUGACGAUUUGAUAUGAAUUUUUGUAGACUAAAUGUGUAAUUGACAUGAAAUUUGUUCAUUAAUUGAUAUACUAUAUAAACUAUAGUCAAUUAGUGAUAGACCAAAGACUCUUAUUUGUUUAAAUUAUACAGUUAUAGAACGGCAAAGUGUUUAAAUCCUCCUUCGAAUAAUUCGGAUAGUUCAAAUCCUCCUUCAAAUAAUUCGGGUAUUUCUUUUGAGCUUUUAGCCUUUUAAAUAUUGCCCUUUACCUGAAAAAUUCCUAAAUGCACCACUCACUAUACUUUAAGUCCAUAACAUGUUAGUUACAUCGUUCAUUCAUAUUAUAUAUAUAACACCUGAAUUAGUACAAUGAGAAUCACACUUUUGAAUUCCUUCGCAUUACAACAUUGAUUCCAAUCGUUAUGGUUAGAUACGAAAAAGUUAGAAAAUGACUUUUUUUUUUUUUUUUUUUUUUUUGUAAUGAUGAAGUCAAGUAAAACUUUUUAAAUUGUCAAAAGAUAAGUAUGCAUUGCUCACCCAUCCACUUUAUAUUUCAAUCUUCCUACUCGACCUCUUAAAGUGAGACAAGAGAUUGGCUCAAAACAAAUAUAGUGGGAAGAAAAAGAGGAAUAUGACUACUAAUAAAGUAAUAUAAAGAGUGUAUGAAUUCAACCCACAGUUUGCUUACUAUACACAAUUUGAAAUUAGGUGAAGUUUUGGUGAGCAGGUAGGGUGCUGUAAGCAAAUUACAGGGUACAUAUAGAAUUUUCCAUUGGUUAAAUGUUUUGGAGGAUAUAUCCAGGUAGCAUGUUAUAACUUCAGAUAUUUUUUUUAUUUUUUUAUUAUAUAUAAGUAAUAUUUGAAGAUGAGAAAAUCGAACACAAGACCUCAGAAGAGCAUCGGUGAUUGACGUAUGAAUUUUCCUGAACCAGAAACUUGAAUGCAGAUUACAAUUAGUUACCCCAUUGAUUAAGGACUAAAAAGAAUAAUUAUAUUUCGGUCUAAUUCGUGGGUUUACAACUGAUAAUUUAUAAUAUCACUGAUCAAAAAGGAAAAAUAAUUCAUAGUAUAAUAUAUCAAAUGAGCUAGGUGUUGGAUUGACAUUGCAUGACCCAGGGGGUGGCCUUCCUUUCAAAAAGGAGUCAUUGCAUUUGUCAACCAUUUGACAAACUACAAAGCGUACACUUUUCUAUUGUAUUUGGUCCUCAAGUCCAUUGGUUGCGUUUCAAGUGUAGCUUUUUUACAGCAGUCUUUUCUGAUGAUAAACUUCAAGAAAUUUCUACAAACAAAUACAUUUUAAUCAACAAUUCUUAACAGCGGCUUAAGACCUACUUGUGUGGUCAAGGAGAAAACCUUUUGGUGGGUUAAACUUAAACUUAUGGCAAUGAUGAGGGGUAGCAAGUAGAGCGAUUGCACAGGGGCUUUGAUUUUAUAGGUUGUUAUUUUUUCAUAGUGUAAAAUCAGUAUAACAAGUCAUAAAUAUAUUAAAUUUCGUAUGCGUGUUAUUUAAACUAGAUUAAAUUUAUGAAAGAGAUAUUUAUAAGUUUUACGAGACCAUCAAAUUUGAAAUCUCAAGGUCGGCCUUGGUGAUGUACCCUACACGGAUUCAGAAAAGAAGAGGUCAACUUCAUGAUGCAUGCCAGGGGAGAUACAUGUAAAUGCAAGGUUUGAUUAUAAAGCAUCACGAGGAGAAGCUAUUUGACCGUGGCAGCUUGUUUUCAAAUAUAGUCAGUGGAACAACAUCCUUGAUUAGAAAUUGCACACAUCAAUGGCAAGUGAUGUGACCUUUAACAUUUAUUUCCCGACGUAGACGUACUAAAAUUCAAUCAAAUUUAUUUACACUAGAAAAGAAAGUCCUUUGUUUGACCAAACCGUGUACAUAUUUAGGAAGGCUUUAAACUCAGAAAACAAUAUAUUGACCAAAAAAGAAAAUUCAAUGGAUGCAAACCAGCUGGUCGAACCAUCUAUGAAGAAAGUUGUACUAGCAUCCAAAUGUACACAGCUGCAUGAAAAUUCAUGAUAUGCAUAAAAGUAUGCAAUAAAUCAUAUUCAGGUAGCUAUAAGUUUUUCAAGACUCAAAUCUUAUCAAUGAGAUCGAGUCAGGUCAAAUCACCCGAUAAUCACGAUUUGAUUUGUUUGUUUAUGUUUUUAUGAUGUGAGAAUAGAUGAUUGGAAGUUUGGAUGUCCUUUAAUAAAAUGGAAAAAUCAACUGAUAACAAUAACUGUACAAAGUUUACAAACACUAAAAUGUUUUUAUAAUUUUAAGUUGUAAUCAUCUCUUUGUAAAACUAUUAUAAAUGGCAUAAUGAACUUCUAAAAUCUUUUCCAAAUUCUCUGAAAAUUAAAACCUUUACCCAUUAGCACCUAUCAUUUUCUUGCUCUCUAAAUCCUAAAUCACACUACAUCAUCAAGACCCACAAACUAUUAACUCAAUUACAUGUAUACCAAAACCAUCCAAAACAUCACUCAUACCUUCAAUAAUAGAGGAAUGUUGAGCCAAAGUUUUGCAUGUAAUGAGUUAAUGUUACCACAAAAGAAAAAGGUUAAUAGUUUGGGUUUCAGAGUAAUUUAGUUGAGCUUUUGGUGGAUGGGAUAUCUUAAAUUUGGUUGGGUGUCUAAGAACAUUUGAAUUUGAGCAUAGGUGCCUCUGUCAAUUGGCCUGUCAAAGAAGUUUUUGUUCACUUUUAACAAAAACUCCUAGGAAGUUUGGUUGGGCUCAUGCGAGAGAAGUAACAUGUCACUUUUAAAUGAAAAACUUGAUAUUUGAAAUUUAACCACAAAAAAAAAAAAAAAAAAAAACUUGACAUUUGAAACUAAAAGAAAUUGACAUACCAAAAAAGAGCUCUGCCCUGCAGAUUCAAAUCCAUUUCUUGAGAGAUGAUAAAACAUGAGAUCAACUUCUGAGCUACACUGAUUCAAUCCACAGAAGACCCAAAUUCAUUUCAAAUAUUAAUUUCGGUACAUCAACGAGUAAUUUCCAAACAGAACUUUUAGUAAAAGUGACUACAAAAUCAAGCUGUGAUUAUACAGGGUAUACGAACCAAUACAGCCUAAAAUACAUAUUCAAAGUGGAUUUCCCUCACUUAAAUAGGGAUAACUUUUACGAUCAGGGAAGAAAAAUUGAUCACACAUAUCUCAUGCAACUGAAGCCAAAUACCAAGGCAGAACAACAGUAGUGAGCCUAGCUUUCCUAAACGACAGCUGGUUUCCAAAGCAAAACUUACUGGGAAAUAGUUCCAUAUCUGUUUUGUAAAACAGGGCUGAGAACAGCAUCACGAGAUAAAAAGCUAAUGUCCAUUUGGGCAUGAUGCAAACCAUCUUGGCAAUCUCAUGACAUGGUUCAUUUUGAGCUCUCUUUAAUUAGGAUUCCACAGUAAUUUUCGGGUCAUUGCGGGAGGGGCUAAUCCAGGAAUAUCUCGAAUGUCCUUGUUGUUUGGAUGGACGAGCUGAAAAGUUAAAGAUAUAAGAACAGUUUAACCAUAUAUCCACCAACAACGGCAAAACACAGACGACUGAUACAAGUUAGCAAGCUCUUCACCAGAUAAGAGGAAAUAAAGUUCCACAAUUGAACGCAAAAUAUUUCAUUUUCCUAACUAGGAAAUUCAAAAUCUUCUUAGAUUCAUAGUAAAUAUUAGUUGGAAAUAUACUUUAGCAGCCAAGUAGACAGUCAAGUACACCUUAUCUCUUCAAAGUACUAGCAGUCAGUUCAAGGAUAUGCUACUUUUAGAAGCAUCAAAUGUACUUUCAAAUUUCAAACAAACAAAGCAUAAUUUAGGGUCCGUUUGAUAACCAUUUCAGUCUCAUUUCUCCCUUCUCAACCUUUUUUGUCCCCACUCUUCCAAUCUAAUUUAUAUUCUUCUUCUAUUUACCUCUUCCCCUUUCCCUCCUAUCAUCUCUAUUUUAACUCCCUCUUUUUUUUUUUUUCUCUCCCCCCUUAUUUAUCUCCUUUUUCUAUUUCAACCCUACCUCCCCCCCCUUUCCCUAUAUCUUUUAUCCAUUUUAUUUCCCCCUUUAUCCAUACUUCCUUAUUAUUNNNNNNNNNNNNNNNNNNNNNNNNNNNNNNNNNNNNNNNNNNNNNNNNNNNNNNNNNNNNNNNNNNNNNNNNNNNNNNNNNNNNNNNNNNNNNNNNNNNNAAAUCUAUUUGAAAUUGUUUUCACUUUCAAGUUUCUGUUUACACUUUUGUUAUUUCUCCCUCCCAUCCUCCCCUCUCUCUCAAUCUCAUCCUCACUUCCAUUCUCCCUCUCAUUUUCCUGUAUACUCUAGCACAAAAAAUGAAAACUAAAAACUAAAAUUGAAAUGGUUAUCAAACGGGCCCUUAAUUUUUUUAUUUUAGAACAAUAAACUCCCUUGAAGCACAAAGGGACCAUCAGAAGGCAAAUAACAUCAGUGGCUUCCACAGCAAUAAAUGAAGAAAAAUGAAAAUUAUGAGAAUAAAACAACAUUACUUUUCUAUCGUCUAUCAGGCUAUAAGUUAGGCAAUGAAUAUUAAGAACUCAAUUAUGUACCUGUAGAUGACAACGCAAAAUCUUCUAUCUGUGGAAUUUAAAACAAUUUAUAAAAACAAAACUACAUGCAAGCGAACUCCAUACCUUCACAAUAAUGAUGGCUAUGACUCCAAUGACAACCAGGACAAGUAAUCCCAUAAUACACCUAUCAGUUGCAACCUAACAGGAAAGAAAAUGGGAAAGAAAAAAAAAAGAAUCAUAAUGAGUAAUAGAAAUGGGAAAUAUCAUCAACAUAUGACAAAGCAAGUGGAUAAUUCAGAAAUUGACCUGCCUACCAAUUUCCUUGACCAGCUUAGUAGCUUUCUUGAUUGAGAAAUGGAUUGAGUCCAGCUCGUUGACAAUCCUACUCAUUUGUUCAGUCUAAACAUGAAACAUUAAAAUUUUAAAAAAUUUAAAAAUUUAAAAAUAUAAAAUAAAACUCUAUUUCGAUGCUCAUGCAAUUUUCUAUAAGGAAUAUGAAGUAAAAUAAUUGAAAACAAUCACAUACUUGAGCUUUGAGAGCUGCUGCUGUCUCUGUUCCAACAUUUAUGGUCUCAUGAACGACCUAUUACAAACAGGAACACAAAGAUAAGUUCUACUUGAAUCACUUCUAACAACACCUGGGAGCAGGAACAAUCUUUUUCUUCCAAUAAUAAAAUUGGACCUUUUUAAAAUGUACCAACCUUUUUUGAUCUCUCAAUCGCUUGAUCUGUCUCAUCCAUCAUUUGGUUUCCAUUAUCAAUUAGUUGUUGAUUUGUCAUAGCUGCAAAAUAUGUGGACUCUGGUAAAAAAAUAAUUCAUCUAGAAUGAAGGAAACAAAAGGUAUGACGCCUAAGAAAAUGCAUUGGUCAUCUUCGGCAUUGCAUCUGAACAAAAUACUAAUGUCAAAGUUAUUGCAUAAAUGCAUACUUCUUAGGAACUUCCCUAAAUGUUUAACAUACAUUACUUUUCUUUGUUAAAUCAAGUUUGACCUCUAAUCCUACACCAAUCCAUCCAGGUCUUUUAGUUCUUGAUCCAACCAAGGGCUUGUAUUGAUUAUGCAGUCACUGUUGUCACCGGUGAACAAUCUCAUAUCAACUCCGAAAUCCAAUUCUUCCAAAGCUUCAUAAAGUCAAUAUAGUCACAAAGCCCAGCUGGUGGAAAGUAAUAAUCGGUUUUUGAAGCACUACUGUAUCAGAAUUAGGCAUUUUUACAAAUUUCAGGUAGCUACAGAUGCAUUUUCUAUAUAAUAUCAUUAGAGUAAAGACCUGGGUACUCGGUGUUAACAGAAAGGUGAGUUACUGCAACGUGCAGUGAACAUAAGGUCUUGUAUGGCUCAAGAUGUGCAUUAACCACUUAGACUUACAAGUGCUAUGAUAUAGUCAAAUUCACCUAUAAUUGAUUUUAUGAACCUAACUUAUGACAAAACGUACAUCAACACCACCAUGCCAAUUACAUAAUGAAACCAAGCAUAUAGAGGAAAAGUCAAAAUAAUUGUAUAUCAAUUGGUGUCCCAACGUCCAGUGAACAUAAGGUCUUGUAUGGCUCAAGAUGUGCAUUAACCACUUACAAGUACUAUGAUAUAGUCAAAUUCACCUAAAAUUGAUUUUAAGAACCUAACUUAUGGCAAAACAUACAUUAACACUACCAUGCCAAUUACAUAAUGAAACCAAGCAAAUAGAGGAAAAGUCAAAAUAGUUGUAUAUCAAUUGGUGUCCCAUGAUCUUACAAAAGAGAGAGAGAGAGAGAGAGAGAGAGAGAGAGAGAGAGAGAGAGAGAGAGAGAGAGGUAGAGAGGUAUUUAUGAAGAAAAGUUGUAUUUCAGUUGGUGUCCCUCCCAUAUUUUCAACCAUAUAUGUAACAUGUGCCAUGUGCCGGAACAUGACCCAAGCUUGUAACUAUCCCUAUCCCUCUCUCCGUUAUAGAUAACUAACUUUUUCUUUUUCCUUUUUUUUUUCUUUUGGAGUCACCUUUCUAAUGCUUUCCCUCAAGUGUCUAUUUUCUCCUCCCCACAUCAACCAUGCUCAAUUUACCUGGUGAUGUUAUGGCAUUCCUCGUAUGUAUUUGUAUAAGCAUGAAUCUGUGAGUGUGUUUGAGUGUACAUGUGCAUUUGCAUGAGCAUUUGUGUGAGAGCUAUUUAUAAGAGCAGGAAUUAUCAGCUGAUGGGUCAAUUAUUAAAGGAUACAAGGCCGAAUUGCAAGUUAACAAAUAAAUAGAUAUUUGCUUACACGAGGCUAGCAAGACAUUCUGUUCCCCAUAUUCCUCGGCCGGCCCAUCAAAGAGAUCAAUUUUCUUGUUUUCAAGGUUCGACGCAUACCUGCACCAAAGACACAACAAACGUUUUCAAAAUUUCUUAUAAAGAAUAAAUAAAUACAUUUACUUGUAGUACUAAAGCAUUAUCAAUUUAUAAAUCAAUUUUGACCUGAAAACAAACCAGUACUUUGACUCAUCCAAGAGAACAAUAGAAUAGUUCUUUUUCAACAAAUAGUGCUAUGUAUUAUCUUUCUGUAUAGUAAAAGUCAGGCUUCUUCUGCUAUUAGAAGAAUGAUGAUGAGAUGAGAAAUAUGUCAAAUAUUAGGGAAAACAUCGCAUGACCACUACCAUCCAAAUUAAGUUACCCAAGUGCACGCGUGCAUCUCUAAUUAAAAGUAUAGGAAAUGACAGGACUCUACUAAUUUGGAAACACGUUCAUGAAGACAUCCGUGCUAAAUAUUUAGUAUUUAUGGGAACAGUAGAUUGGAGAAUCAUAUCAAUUGUAUAAUUGUGAAUUAAUUACUUUAUUAUUGGAAUAAUUAUGAAUUAAUAAUUAAGACUCAGAAAACACGGCAUUUUACAUCACAGGUAUUUUGGUCUCCAUAUUGAUAUGUAAUCAACAUAUGAAAUCUCAUACAUCAAUGAAAUAUUAUUUAUGUACAUAUGUUAUGCAAGCCUGCGAUAAUAGAUGUUCAGGUCAGACCGAUACAAUGUACAGGCAGACUCACACAACAAUUAAUGUAAUUUCUUGCUAAUGCUAACUUACUGCUUUUUCAGAGCCACAUAUGAAUUCAACUCUUUGAUCUGCACAAAAGUUCCAACAAUGGUUAAUACACUUGUAACAUGCAAAAACAACGAAUAGACACAAGAAGACAAUUAAAAGAAGGGACAAUUAGAAGAAAAAAAAAGUAGACAUGCAAACUCUGUAUAUGAAUUAAGAAUUGACAACCCACCAUUGUCUGCUUUUUCUCAUUCAGCAUUCUACUGGUGUCUGGGUCAUUUACUCUCUCAAUAUUCUUGACUUCUCUGUCAAAUUCCUUGAUAAGCCUGAAAACAACACAACAUAUAUAACCUUCUUAGCUUGAAAAUCUAAUUGAGGACUUCAUAAGUUGGAAUUUAAACGUCUGUAUAAAUUGAAUUAAAUAAUCACAACUUCUACAAAUGAAUUGCAGAAAAUUUGAUAUAUAGAAACCACAGAUGCUGGCCAAAUUUAGUAAUUAAGCACAGAUCCAUCAGAUUAUGGCAUUUGUUUCUCAAAUGACAUGGCAAACCAUCAUAAUAUUGAAUCUAAGAAACAUCAAUUUUUUAGGUAAAGGAUAAUUUUGGGUGGAAAAUCCAAAAAAUAAACCAGGCAAAUCCAGAGCUCAAUGUAAAAGGAUAAGAGUACUGAAUUAGUAUGCAUAUCUCAGCAUAAAAAGCAGAUGAUGUAGUACUGAAUUAGUAUGCAUAUCUCAGCAUAAAAAGCAGAUGAUGUUCAUUACUGCUCAACUAUCCUUAACACGACAACAGACAAGAUAUUUCAAUCCCUUAAAAAUAAUGGGGCAGGAUUUAUGACCAAAUGUCAACUUAGUUAAACUUCACCAAAACUUCCAGCAUUAGUCACAAAUUGUAGAAAUAUUCCAGUUCCAAGUAUAAUAUUUGUUAUAAGAGACAAAAUUUUAUUAACAAAAAUAGAUGAGUGCAAACUGAAAUAUAAAAAGUUUGCAGUUGAAAAGGAGUCCACUAACAACGGAAGCUAAACAAUUAUCCAAAAGUCAAUUAAAAUGGAAACAAACAAAACCGCCCUCCUACCUUCCUAAAUAAUGGCAGCCCCCCAAUCUGCAAAAUAAGCAAAAUAAGGAAUUUUGCAAAAUUCUGAAAAAACUGAAACCCACAAUGUGACCAAAAUCAAUAUUAUCCCACAAAACUUCCUUAACCUCUCCCUAAUGCUAUCAAAUAUCAUCUAAAUUCUUUCUAGCUACAACACCCAAAGCACAUCCAUCAUACCACACCUCCCUAGGACUACACUAUUCUUCCUUCCCCAAAAUGUUUGUGUUCACAAAACAGUGCUAUGAAAGAUGCUGGAACUACCCAGCUUCCUAGCCUCCCAAACAGUCUCCACCCUAAAUGUAAGGCAAUUGGGCAAUGAAGAAACAACUCGUCAGCACUUUCACCAUCUCCAUAAUGGACAGGCAUGACAUCCAAGUGAGAUGAGAACGGAUAUGAGAUCUGAGCAAGAAGAUUGAAUUGAACCUAUGGCACAGUAGCAAGUCCAUUCUAAUCUUUUUAUUUCUUUUUUUAAUAUUGAGACUUCACUAAUGCCAAAAGUCAGUGCAAAGAGAACAUGCACAAGCCAUCCACAGACAACAACCUAAAGAAAAGGCUUCGUACAAAAUUCAACACAAGCCUCUUAAUACAUCAGGAAAAACAACUAAACGAGUUAGGAUACAGCUGCUCUCCAAUAAAGAAGUAUAGCUGAAAGCAAAAAUAUCUCUGAAUUCCGAGAAAAAAGAAGCCCAAAGAAAUGAUCAAAACCUGAUCUUAACCCAAAGAACCUCCUCAUAAACACCCAAAUUAUCCCCAAAGAUCCGUUUAUUUUUUUUCCCGCCAUAACACCCAAAACACAGCUUUACUACACCACUCAAAACUUUUUUCCUUCUACCUCCCACCCCCUCCACAAUCUAAACCACAAAUUUUAAGUCACAGGACAGUGAAGAAACAAUUGAUUGACAAUCACUGCUAGCUUUGCACAUUACACACCAUUGAGGAGACAAACAAACUUGUGGUCUCCUCUGCACUGUGCUGCACGUGUUAACCCAUCUCAGUGACACCAGCCACACGAAAAUGUGGACCUUCCAGAGGUACCUUAACUUUCCAAAUGUUCUAAUAAGGAUGAAACUUUCACAGCUCUAGCAGCAUGUUAACUUACACCUUCCAAAACUGCCAACAAUGCCACCAUAUCCCCUGAUUUCAGCUCAUUUAGAUUCCUUCUGAAACCGAAGUUCCAGCUCAAAGGUGACAAAGAAGAGACUAGAGCAUAGCAAUGAAAGCAUUGUUUAUUGUCUGGCAGGUCUAUCACAUUCCUAAAGUUGUUCAUCAAAAGUUAAGGGGAUUAAGAAAUAAAAUUGUCAACUGGCUAGGACCUAUCCUAGCAUACAUAAUUCAGAAAGCCUUCAUGGUAAAGUUUUCUGAGUAAUGAACUUCUUUCCAUUGUUUGAAGCAACUUGUAAAUAUAUAAUUUUAAUCAACAAGAAACUAUCCAAUAAAGAAUUCCUUUAUUUAUCAUCAUUUAACUUACGAAAUAUUAGUUGAGGAAGAGCUACCUUUGAUUCUAAUUUCAAUAAAGUCAGCUCUUAAUUUAUUCACAAACCAAAUCCAAUCAAACCAUUAAUAGUGAAAAGAAAAAAAUUUAGCAUUCUACAUCAAGAUCAAACGGAGCUUACUGUACUGAAAUUCAUUUAUUUUAUGGAAACUGACGAUGUGUUAAUACUUAAGCUAAUUGCAUCACCCCAAGUCACCAUCACGAACCAAUUUACCAUUCAAUAACUCCUAGCACACAUAUUCACCAACUUAUCAAGAACAUUGAUUGACAUUAAGCCCACAUUAACUUUCACAAUAAAUAACGAGGAUCAAACAAUGAAAAAUACCUCUUACAGUCUCGCAUCUUGUCAGUGAGCUCUUCAAGCUGCCUACUUUGCCUAUUCGAGUCCUUAAUCUUCUCCAGCUUCUGAAACCCAUUUCUGCAAAAAAAAAAAAGAUUAAAAUAAAUCAUGAAUCCAAACACUAGCUUUAGACUUGAAUUUCCAAGAAGGAACCAUAAAACACUCUGAAACUCAAUCUUUUAAUCAACCAAAAUCCAAACAGAGGCAUAAAAUGAAAAUGCUCACGAUAAUGCACGGAAAAUGUCAGUGAUUUGGCCGUCGAUCUCCGCCAGCUCUUCGCUGAUUGCAGAUAACGGAUCCAUCUCUCCAAUAAACAACAAUCAAAUCAAAUCCUUCAGAUCAUCACAAAACUCAUAUUCUGGGAAGUUCCCCGAUCAAAUCCAAUCGGCUUCGAAGCUCAACCGAAGCAAAAUGCAAGAUCUGAAAUCGCCUUCCAAAUUAAUCAAACCAAUAAAAUCGGACAAUAAAAAAAAUCCAAAUCCGCGAUCAGAUCCAAGGCAAUGUAGGUUGCGAUGGCGAUCGAGGAGACCAAAAUCGAAGGGCCCCCGAUCUGAAAAACUCUUCUUUAUAAAUUUAUAAAAAUAAUACUACAGGGGCUUCCCUCCUCGUGAUUUACAGAGACAAAUUUUUUAAAUUUUGGAUUUUUUCUUUCUUUGUUUUUUUUCUUAUUUUCUUUUUGUGGGUUUUGAUGGGGGGAGAGGGGCGUUUAAAAUCUACGACAACAUUAUUGGCCGUUUAAAACGCUCAUUUCGUCGUUAAGAAACUUAGGGUGGGACCCUGGGGCCCGCCAAGAAAACGCGUUUUUAUGCCGUUUUGGGUACUUUAUUGUAGUAUUGUGUUGUGGUGGUAUAGGUUGUUGUAGCCAAACCAGCGGUAGGAAGUUUUUUUUUCCAACGAAAGUGAAAUCUUAUUUUAAACGAACUGAAAAAUAAACAUCCCCUGCUAAUCAACUAAACAACCACUCUGGACAAACCAUUAAAUAGCAUCCUGUGCCUAUUUUUUGUGAUUUAUCUUUUUUUGUGGGGUUUAGUUUCCUAUUAUCUCUCUCUUGUGGACUUAAAUUUCUCUCUCUCUCUCUCUCUCUCUCUCUCUCUCUCUUUAUAAAUUGGGUUUUUAUUUUUCUUAUUAUUAAUUUUUAAGAUUUGAACCCGUUCUCUUGGAUGAUCCAAGAGUCUUAUAGUUACUUAUUCUUAUAUCUAAUUUAAAAACUAGUUUAAAAAAUCUAUUUUGUUUUACUUUUUACUUCAUGACAUUAAUUUUACUUGCAAAAACAUUAAAACAAAAAAGUCAAUUUGUGGGUAACACGCUCUCAAUCCAAAAUCAAGAACGUGUUCUUUUUUCUCCCAAAUCUCGCUGCUAUAGGACCUCCAACUUCAGCCACAACACCCAUCUACCUUCUUCUGAUUUUCUCCAUGAAUAAAUCUUUUUUUUUUGUUACCCUCGUUGAUGAUUUUCAUAAAUGUGCAGGCCCGACACGACUCGUUUAUUAAAUGGGCUGACUCUAAACGGAACGAGCCGGUCCGACACAUUACGUUUGGCACAUCUAGUGCCAAGACAAACCUACAAUCUCAAGCCAGAAAGACUUAUGCGUUGCACCCAACUACUAGUUACCACGUGUAUGAAUAUAACUUUAAAAGUGCAAUUUGAUAUAAGAUUUUCACAUAUCAUUCACUCUUACUCAAUACCCAAACAAGUAAAAGAGUAAAGACCCUACCUUCCUCAGCUUCAACUCCCCAAUCUCUUGUACUUCUAUUCUCUACAACAUCAAAAACCCAUGUUCCAAAACAACAACAAAAAAACCCAUGCUCCAAACGAAAGAAAAUAAAAACAAAAGGACAAUGAUAGCAAGAGAGAAAAGUUCAAGCCUUGCCAAUUUAUGCUCGGCAGGGUGACAGCUAGCACCAACCCUUUUUUUUAGGUCAAGAAGCACCAACCCUUGUGAGUCUAAAUGCAGUCAAUAUUUUGUUUUUCUUUUCCUGCAGAAAAAUUGUCAAAGUUGUGGAGUUUAAUUUUUUUUGGGGUACUUUGCAAUCUGUACACCACAGUGGGAAAAGUUGAAGAAAAGGUGAGAAUCCUAGAAAAAAUGAAAAAUUCUGAUUGUAGGACUACUUGUCAUAUAUAGCCGUACAUAGGUCUCUACUUUCUACCCUGGAGAUUUAAAAAAGGAAGUACUAUAUGGGCUGUUAAAGUUCGUGUCUUAUCCUCAUUGGUUACGAAAUAUUUAGUCUUUUUCUUUUUUUUAAUAGUUGACGUGAAGUUCUUUUUUAUUUUGCUCUCAUUCCCAAGUUACUUGAUCAUCAUAAAUUAUCAUGAGUCAAUAAAUUACCAUCGGAGUCACUAAAUAGUUAACUGCUGCCUCAUUUGAGGCAAGUGCAUCAUUACUCCCUGAAUUUUUAUUUUUAAUUUUUUUUUAUUAAGAGAAAUGAUAAUAUAUUAAACUCACAUAUAUUAUACGAAUGUUAGGGUUUGAAUUCAAGAUCUUAUUUGAGAGAAUAAAUACUUUAAACCACUAUACAAACAGAUCCUUUGCAGACCUUUCAGUUUUUAUGAUAACAAAUCAGAUAAAUUUUGACCCAAAAAAAGAAGACGACAAAUUUGUUGCUUAUCUUAGUUAUGUGUGUUCCUUAGAAUUGUUGAUGAUAUUUAACACAAAAUGAGGGUGCAGUUGCAAUUAUGUCAAAAUAUUCAUCAGUUUGAAUUGGUCACUAUAGCAGUUGAUUGUAUAUAGUUGUUCACUUUUUGGUUUUGCUUGUAGGUUUACCUAGCACAGAAGCAAGCAAGGACCAAAGGGUUCUAUGAUGUCUUACUCCUGGAUUCUGCAACUGGAAAAAACAUUUAGGACGUUAUAUCAUGUAAUAUAUUUCAUUGUCAAGUGCAAUUGAAAAUUUUCAUGGAUUACAAGUAAUGGCAGUUUUGUUUUAAUAAAAAAAUUCUGUUUUUUUUUUCCAUAUUUAUUUUUAACAGUGUUAGACGUAGGUGGUAGAUUGCAACAUUUUACAAAAUUCAAGUGGUAAUAAAUCGCGUACCUAAAAGUUUAGGUGAUAUUUACUCAAAUUUCCCUAAAUUUAAAUUAAUCAUCAAGAAACGAUCCUAUAAUUUAGAGUUCCUUCUUUAUCAUCAUUUAACAACCUAUGAAAUAUUAAUUGAGGAAAACCUACCUUUGAUUCAAAUUUCAAUAAAGCCAGCUCUUAAUUUAUUGAUUGACAAACCAAGUUCAAAUCAAGCCCUUAAUAUAGUAAAAAAAAAAAAAAAAAAUUCCCAUCCUACAUCAAUAACAAACAGAGCUUAUUCUAGUGAAACUCAUUUAUUUCUUUGCCUACUAAUAAGUCCAAAUCCAAAUCCAAAAAGAGGCUUUGAUUUUUUUUAUUUUUUAAACAAAGCCUACAGUUUUUAUCUUAUUAAGGAAACCUCUUGAUUCUUUUUGGGUAAAGUGGAUUGCUUUCAUUGAAACCCUGAACAGAAGAAGCCAAAUACAAAAGAAAGACUCAGAGAGUACAGUACGAAAUCUUGACCGUUCAUCUGCUCCUUUUUCCUAACGUGGACACCAUCCAGACCGUUGAUUCUCCACCAAUCACCGCUCUAGUUCCCAGUUUCAUGCAAGCACCAAACCUAGCCUGUUGUCCGAUUUUACUGUAAUACCCCCUCGUGUCAUCCUUUUUUCUAGGUCCAAGAAAGGGCCAGCUUUGUCCGAAAAUAAAUUCACGCUUACAGACCCCAAUUUGACCUCUCCUUUUUCAACUCUCAAAGAACAAAAUUUACACUUACGAAGAAAGAAAAAAAAAAAAGCGUCCGGCUCCUUUGCUCUCUGGCGUGGCGUGGCGUGCAUGCUCUGAAGCACAAGCACUCUCUCUUCGCGCCCUUUUGCCUUCCUCUGGUCCUGCUCACCAUCACGAAGCUCUUGUUGUGCUCUUCUCUGUUUUCUCUCACUGCAAGUUCGCCAUUUUUGCUGCUUGUAAGUCUCUCUGUCUCCCUAUGACUCUGUUUUGCUGUUUCUGGUGUGUAUAUGCAUGUGUUGUAUGAUUGUGUGUGUGUGGGUGUGCGAUUCGAGGGAAAAGAGCUGCCUUUGUGAUGAUUUUUCUUUGGUGAAAAAAAUUGAAUCUUUGGGAUUAUUGUGAUAGGAUGUAGCUUCUUCUCUUUGCAGUUACGUGUGUAGGUAUAUAUAUAUAUAUACAUAUGGAUGUGUUAGUGUGAUUUUGAUGUAAAAGAGCUGACNNNNNNNNNNNNNNNNNNNNNNNNNNNNNNNNNNNNNNNNNNNNNNNNNNNNNNNNNNNNNNNNNNNNNNNNNNNNNNNNNNNNNNNNNNNNNNNNNNNNNNNNNNNNNNNNNNNNNNNNNNNNNNNNNNNNNNNNNNNNNNNNNNNNNNNNNNNNNNNNNNNNNNNNNNNNNNNNNNNNNNNNNNNNNNNNNNNNNNNNNNNNNNNNNNNNNNNNNNNNNNNNNNNNNNNNNNNNNNNNNNNNNNNNNNNNNNNNNNNNNNNNNNNNNNNNNNNNNNNNNNNNNNNNNNNNNNNNNNNNNNNNNNNNNNNNNNNNNNNNNNNNNNNNNNNNNNNNNNNNNNNNNNNNNNNNNNNNNNNNNNNNNNNNNNNNNNNNNNNNNNNNNNNNNNNNNNNNNNNNNNNNNNNNNNNNNNNNNNNNNNNNNNNNNNNNNNNNNNNNNNNNNNNNNNNNNNNNNNNNNNNNNNNNNNNNNNNNNNNNNNNNNNNNNNNNNNNNNNNNNNNNNNNNNNNNNNNNNNNNNNNNNNNNNNNNNNNNNNNNNNNNNNNNNNNNNNNNNNNNNNNNNNNNNNNNNNNNNNNNNNNNNNNNNNNNNNNNNNNNNNNNNNNNNNNNNNNNNNNNNNNNNNNNNNNNNNNNNNNNNNNNNNNNNNNNNNNNNNNNNNNNNNNNNNNNNNNNNNNNNNNNNNNNNNNNNNNNNNNNNNNNNNNNNNNNNNNNNNNNNNNNNNNNNNNNNNNNNNNNNNNNNNNNNNNNNNNNNNNNNNNNNNNNNNNNNNNNNNNNNNNNNNNNNNNNNNNNNNNNNNNNNNNNNNNNNNNNNNNNNNNNNNNNNNNNNNNNNNNNNNNNNNNNNNNNNNNNNNNNNNNNNNNNNNNNNNNNNNNNNNNNNNNNNNNNNNNNNNNNNNNNNNNNNNNNNNNNNNNNNNNNNNNNNNNNNNNNNNNNNNNNNNNNNNNNNNNNNNNNNNNNNNNNNNNNNNNNNNNNNNNNNNNNNNNNNNNNNNNNNNNNNNNNNNNNNNNNNNNNNNNNNNNNNNNNNNNNNNNNNNNNNNNNNNNNNNNNNNNNNNNNNNNNNNNNNNNNNNNNNNNNNNNNNNNNNNNNNNNNNNNNNNNNNNNNNNNNNNNNNNNNNNNNNNNNNNNNNNNNNNNNNNNNNNNNNNNNNNNNNNNNNNNNNNNNNNNNNNNNNNNNNNNNNNNNNNNNNNNNNNNNNNNNNNNNNNNNNNNNNNNNNNNNNNNNNNNNNNNNNNNNNNNNNNNNNNNNNNNNNNNNNNNNNNNNNNNNNNNNNNNNNNNNNNNNNNNNNNNNNNNNNNNNNNNNNNNNNNNNNNNNNNNNNNNNNNNNNNNNNNNNNNNNNNNNNNNNNNNNNNNNNNNNNNNNNNNNNNNNNNNNNNNNNNNNNNNNNNNNNNNNNNNNNNNNNNNNNNNNNNNNNNNNNNNNNNNNNNNNNNNNNNNNNNNNNNNNNNNNNNNNNNNNNNNNNNNNNNNNNNNNNNNNNNNNNNNNNNNNNNNNNNNNNNNNNNNNNNNNNNNNNNNNNNNNNNNNNNNNNNNNNNNNNNNNNNNNNNNNNNNNNNNNNNNNNNNNNNNNNNNNNNNNNNNNNNNNNNNNNNNNNNNNNNNNNNNNNNNNNNNNNNNNNNNNNNNNNNNNNNNNNNNNNNNNNNNNNNNNNNNNNNNNNNNNNNNNNNNNNNNNNNNNNNNNNNNNNNNNNNNNNNNNNNNNNNNNNNNNNNNNNNNNNNNNNNNNNNNNNNNNNNNNNNNNNNNNNNNNNNNNNNNNNNNNNNNNNNNNNNNNNNNNNNNNNNNNNNNNNNNNNNNNNNNNNNNNNNNNNNNNNNNNNNNNNNNNNNNNNNNNNNNNNNNNNNNNNNNNNNNNNNNNNNNNNNNNNNNNNNNNNNNNNNNNNNNNNNNNNNNNNNNNNNNNNNNNNNNNNNNNNNNNNNNNNNNNNNNNNNNNNNNNNNNNNNNNNNNNNNNNNNNNNNNNNNNNNNNNNNNNNNNNNNNNNAGAGCUGACUUUUUUAUAAUUUUUUGUGUUUUUGGUGGAAAAGGUUCAAUCUUUGGUGCUCAUGGACUAUAACGCGCCUGUAGCAAGGAGGACACGGCUAAGUGAGGAGAAAUACUGGAGGAAGAUAUGGGAGAAACAGGGUGGGAAACGAAAACUCCGUGAUGGGUCUGAUAAAAAAGAGAAAUCACGUAAGGGGUCCAAGGAAUGGGAUUGUGUCUCUCUGGAUGACUCUGAGGAGAAUGAGGAAGCCAGUGUGAGUCCUUCUGUGGGAGGCAAGGACAAGAAGAAGAGUGGGAAAAGAAAACUCCAUGAUGGGCCCAAUAUGAAAGAGAAAUCACGCAAGGGAUCCAAGGAAUGGGACUGUAUUUAUGUUGAUGACUCUGAGGAGAAUGAGGAAGUCAGUGUGAGUCCAUCCACAAAAGGCAAGAACAAGAAGAAGGGUGGGAAAAGAAAAUCUGCUGAGGGGUCUAAGAAACAGAGGUCCGGUUAUGAUGAUUCUGAUGACAGUGUAGCGGCCAGUGUGGAGAUCCUCAGUGAAAGUUCAUUUGGAAAGCAAGACAAUGAUUCUGUGGGUUUUGAUCAUGUUGAGAGUGCCGGAUCAAAUGGAAAGAAUUCUAAAUCUGGUGCUGUGGACAUUGAGAAUUUGUGUCCAGUUGACGUGGAGGAUAGUGAUGGUGAGGUGGUGUAUUUGGGUGAAGAGAAAGUAGGAGGUUUUGGUUGUUCGAGUACAGAGAGGAGUGAUGCCAGUGAGGAUACUGCUUCUGAUGGCUCAGAUGAAUCUUGGAAGAGUAGUUCUAGUGAGGAUGCUAUUUCUGAUGCCUCAGAUGAAUCAGAAGAUGAGUCUUUUGAACAAGAAAAGUCAGAAAGUUCUGUAUUUUCUGAGGAGUCGAAUUCAUGCAGUGGAGAGGGGCAUGAUGAUGAAAGAGAGGUUAUCAAGACAAGUGGGAAACCAAGAAAGGGGACAAGUGUUGAGGGUGAUGUUGAGGUGAAGAAGGGGAAGGACAUUGAUGCUAGUGAGAUUACAAAAGGAAGUGGGAAAGCGGGAAAGGGAAGAAGUGUUGAGGUUGGUGUGAGGAGAAAGAGAAGGGUUGGGUUGGAUAUGUCAGUUGAUGCAGAUGAUGACAUUGAUAGCAACAAAGAUGAUCCUAUUCAUUCCGCACAAGAGUUUAAUAGUGUGGCAAAACGAAAUCGUUCACGAGUUAGUGGAAGAAGUGAAAAGAAGAGAAUGGUAAAUCAACGACUUUGUGUUGAUGAGGAUAAUGAGGAUUCUUCUUCCGGGCAUGAUAAUGACAAUGAGGAUGUUGAUGACGCCAAUUGCAGUGGUCCAAGAACUAGGUGCCACAAAAAGAAAACAGGGACUGAUGAUGAUGAUAGAAGAAAUUAUGAAAGUGACAAGACCUAUGGUGGUCCUAGUAAAUGGAACGGUGUCCACGGAGUGUGCAAGAAGAAUAAAAGGGAUAUCGAGAAUCUGACUAACAGAAUGUCCAUGCGGGCAAAGAAGGACUGUAAUGCUUUUAAGAUUCUUGUAGAUUCCAUUUAUGAGAAGGGAGAAGGGACACUGGAAGGGUCAGUUUCCUUUGGAGAUGAAGGCCCUAAAGAUGAAAGAAAUCCACCAGAAUCUGAGAUGACAACUCUUCCACUUAAGUUUACUUUUCCAUGGGAGCAGUCAAAUGUACCAAAGAAGUCAGAGUGUGAUCCAGAAGAAAAAGAACUAUGGGACGAUCUUGAAUUUGCUCUCAGAGCUUCUGAGAUUGAGUCCCCUGAUUCUAAUGUGGUAGGUUGACAUGAACAACAUUGUUUGCACUCUGCUCCUAGAAAGUACAUUUUUGUUUCUUGCACAAGAUGUUUUAUUGUAAGUGAAUGUUUGAUUGGCAGGUUGAAAAUCAAGAUUCACUCCCUAUUGCUAACGAAGUUGAAACAGUAGCUAGCCUCUGUAGGAGAGGGGUUCAUCAGCUUAUACUUGAUGAAGAGAUUGGACUCCUAUGCAAGUUUUGCUCUUAUAUAGAUCAGGAGAUCAAGUAUAUUUUACCAGACUUUGUAAGUCCUGCAACUGUCAUAUGCAUGUUCCUUUCAGUUAAGACUGAUUAUGUUAGCAUUUUUCAUUUGCACUAAAACUUAGAAUCUAGUUAUUAUUAUGACAACACUACAUGUAGAGCAUUCCGUGUUGUUUGGAACAUGCUUUAGGAUGCAUCCUUUGUUGGCAAUUUUAUCCAUAUAAGUUCUAGAUUUAGAGACUUAGAGCUAGGGCUUGCUAACCUAGAUGGGUCCAUUAUUUGGAAUGAAACUAUGACGUGUUGACGUUCCAUUCCCUGUAACAUGAGUUGGCCAAGUUUGAUUGGAUCUGAGAGCAAACUCACUGUUCAAGUUAUUGACCCAAUUGGCAUAUUUCAACUGUUAUUUGUUAUUAUUAGAUUUUUAUUGUAUUUGUAAAUAGCUCUUGCAUAUGCUCGGACUUGAUCAUUGGUUUAGUUCAGUUGGUUACUCAAAGCUUCUGGUCUUUAACUUGACAGUAAUUGUUUUUUGGUGUACUUAACUUGACAAUGCUUUCUUUCUUUGAUGUUGAGAGGAUCCUUCAUCCUCGGAAGGGGUUAUUUAAUGCUCAUUGGAGGGCCAUUGUUACUUCUAAAAGCUGCAACUUGUUGAUUUUAGUCAUUCAAAUCAUAAUUAUCAAGUUAGUUAUGGUGAAUGUCCUUGCAAUGUUUCUGGCCAAUCUCAAUUUUUUUUAAAGGAUUUCUUGAGUCUCGUCAAAUAUGUUGCUUUGAAUAAUUUAGUAUAUCUUGGCCAAAAAAAAAAAAAAAAAAAAAAGAAUGAUUUAGUAUAUAGGGUCUGAUUUUCCGAUCGUCUUUUACUUUCCUUGUCUGCUUUCUGAUACCUCCGUGCUUAUCAACUUAAUUGUCAUGCUUUAGCAUAUCCGAUAUGUGAUUUUUCCCUUGUGUAUGUUCAUUCCAGCUUGACUGCCCUUAUGGAAGAUUUGACAAAAGAGGCUCCGAAACAGACAACCGGUCUAUCUUUGAUGAGCUUCAAUCCCAUGUUUCUGAUUCUGAUCGCCAUUCUGGCUGUAAUUCUCAUCCUCACGUUGAAGGCACAGUGUGGGACUUAAUUCCUGGUGUUAAAAGUAGUAUGUAUCCCCAUCAGCGUGAAGGUUUUGAGUUUAUCUGGAACCAUAUAGCGGGUGGUAUUCAUCUUGACAAGUUGAAAAAGCCAAGUAGUGUUGGUGGGAAUGGAUGCAUCAUAUCACAUGCUCCUGGAACAGGAAAAACUCGCCUGACCAUUGUCUUUCUCCAGACAUACAUGGAGUUAUUCCCAGAUUGCAGGCCGCUUCUGAUUGCUCCUCGUAGCAUGCUCCUUACGUGGGAAGAGGAGUUUAAAAAAUGGAAGUUUGACAUUACGUUUCACAAUCUUAACAACUUGGAGUUAUCUGGCGAAGAAAAUCAAACAGCUGUAAAUUUGGUGAUGCAAGCUCAAGGCAGGAGAAGUGUUAAUAAAGAGAACAGGCGAAUGCUGAAGUUGUAUUCCUGGAAAAAGAACAGAAGCAUCCUGGGGAUUACUUACCGGCUGUUUGAGCAGCUUUCUGGAGCACAAAAAACUGGCUCAGUUGACGAAAUGGGGAAAAUCCUUCUUGAGUUUCCUGGUCUUGUAGUGUUUGAUGAAGGACACACUCCUCGGAAUGAUCAAAGUCAUAUGUGGAAGGCUUUGUCAGAAAUCAAAACAAAAAGCCGUAUUCUGCUCUCUGGAACUCCGUUUCAGAAUAACUUUCAGGAGCUAUUCAAUACAAUCUGCAUUGUGAGGCCCACUUUUGCAGCCUCGAUUGAUUCUACUAAAUUCAAUAAGGAUCUUCCCAAAAAACGAGGCCGGAAAAGCAAUGGGGAAAAAUCGAAAUGGACUUUUGUGGCUAGUAGUAGUGGAAAAGUUGCUGAUGACAAAGAAAAACAUGCUACAGAAGUCAAAGCUCGGAUUGCACCAUUUGUCCAUGUCUAUAAAGGUUCUGUGCUACAAGAUAGUCUUCCCGGGUUAAGGAACUCAAUAGUUGUUUUACACCCAACCCCGCUACAGGUGAAGUUUCAUAAGAGAAUUCAAGGGGUGAAGGAACUAUUUCGAUAUGAAAACCUAGAGGCUUUAAUAUGUAUUCAUCCUUCCCUCUUGCUUAAGGAUAAGGAAGAUGCAUUUUCUGCCGACCGGGGUAGGUUAGAGGAGCUUAAAUUAAAUCCCGAUGCUGGAGUCAAGGCAAAAUUUGUGAUGGAACUCAUUCGGCUCAGCGAUGCUAUGAAGGAAAGAGUUCUGGUUUUCAGUCAAUACCUUGAUCCGUUAAUCCUUAUAAGGGAUCUUCUGAAAUCUCUAUUUCAGUGGACUGAAGGGGAAGAGGUGCUGUAUAUGGAUGGGAAAUGUGAUAUGAAGCAGCGUCAAUCCUCGAUGAAGGUUUUCAAUGAUCCAUCUAGCAAUGCCAAGGUAUUACUAGCUUCAACUAAAGCAUGUUCCGAAGGCAUAAGCCUUGUUGGAGCUUCCAGGGUUGUAUUGCUUGAUGUCGCAUGGAAUCCAUCUGUGGAGAGGCAAGCAAUAUCCCGUGCCUACAGGCUGGGACAGAAGAAGGUUGUGUUUGUCUACCAUCUCCUCAUGGACGGAGCUAACGAAGAGGAUAAAUACAGUCGCCAAGUUGACAAGAGUCGUUUAUCUGAGUUGGUGUUUUCUGAUUCAGACAAGAAGGCUCUCGAGAAGGAAAUCCGAGCCACAGUUUCAGAGGAUAAAAUCUUGGAAGAGAUGGCUCAGCACGAGAAACUGAAGCACAUAUUUAAAAGCAUAGCUUUACUGCAUGAAGACAUAUACUUUGAGCAGCUAGGCCAGUCAACUUUUGGUUAAGAUUUAAAGAAGACAAGAUCAAUUGAGUUGAUUCUGAUGAUCUCCGAUAAUUAGUGUGUUGUUGUAGAUAGUCAACUAAUUAAUGAUUCUCUUUCCUGUAUUGUAAAGACAAUUAAUGAUUCUCUUUCCUGUAUUGUAAAGACAAUUAGCACGAUAUAGGAUCUGGUUUUCUACUUCCUUGUAUAAAGCUGUGAGUAAUUCCUUGUGCUGUAGUUGUCUUCACUCAAGGGCUGCGAUACAAGGAUCACUUGGUUCCUUCUGUCAUGGUUGAAUGAGAAGGUUUUGUAGACUCCUUGUUAUCUCCCAUGGAAGGAAUGACUACGGUUUUGUGUUUGGUCUCCCAAUAUAUCUCUUCCCUACACUUUGGUUAAAAUGGUUAGACUGCCUCUUAAGCAUUUUAGUGAUCGUUGUUCAUUUUGGAAUACUGGAUUGACACAAUGUGUGAAAUCAACUUGCCCAAUGACAAUUGCUGGCAAUGACAUUUUGCAUUUCCAUGACCAAGAAAGUCUUUACUUAUCUGUGACAUACACAAAUUGUUGCUCCUUCAUCAGAUUGCAAAAUAGGACUGCUUAGCCAUAGAUGCCCUAUGACCAUCAUUGAAGGGUCGGGCGUACACAAAUUCUUCUCCGUCAUUGAUUAAUGCCGUUAAUUACUGAAACUCAAUUAACCAAGCCAUGCUGGUUUUGCAGGACCAAUAUCAGUUGUUAGGCGAGAAUGUCGCCAAGAUUAAAACCAAUCUCAUUGUUACCAUUUUUGCCACAUUUUUGCCAUUGUAUCAAUCCAGUAUUCCAAGGGGCUUGAAUUCUUGCCACAUUUUUGCUAUGUGACAGAAGACUGUGGCUAGUUCUUUUAGGUUGUUAGCCUGGUGAUUGCUGGAAGGCCGAUUAGGUUUUGUUACCAUUGUAUAUGAGUAGUUGUAGUAGUAGUCCCUUUUGAUCUCAUGAUUGAAACUCUGUAUUUUAUGAUUUAUUAUGAUGCUUUCGACUCUUAAAACAUUUCACAAAGUUUGUCUUAAGCAGUUCAUAUUAUAUCACUGCAGUAGUUAGUACCAUACUAUUAUGAUUGUUGACUAAGUGAUGCAUUAUACUAAAAACUGUUGCUUGAUUCCAGGUAUUGGGUAAUGGUUUUGAUGUGAUUUCUGUUGGAAAGCGAAAGCUUGUUCGUUCUGUUUCAACUGAGUUGAACAAAGACCAUAUUGAAAUUUUAGAGCUAGCCCAGGUUGCAAAUUUUUGUUUUAUCUUCCUGCUACCUUUGCCAGGAGUAUAAAUUUCAACGAACUUAUUUGAUUUUUGACAUCUAGACAAGGUCUAAAAUAUUGAUGAUAUCGGAAAUAUCGGUAGUCCAAAAAUAUGGAAAUUUCGAUAGAAAUAUCGAGAUAUUAUCGAUAUCGAUAAAAAUUGAAUAAAAACCACGGAAAUUGUAAGAAAAACUUGGAAAUUUUUAUUGAAACUUUGGAAAAUGUUUAUUUAGUCAAUUAUCUAUGAGUUUAUCACAAAAAAUUAGAAAGGAAAUGCAUUGCAUGAUGGAUUUAACUAAUUCAAGUUGAUUAUACAGCAAGCGGGCAAACACUAUGAGUGUAAAAAAAAUGUAAUAAUUAAUGAAAAAGAUUAAAUACACCGUAAUCAUUUAUAUAUAAUGAUUUACUAUAAUAUUUUACACUUUAUACAUUGCAUGUAUAAAUAUAUGAGUGACUUAGUACCACAUAGAGUUCCUACGAGGUUCAAAUUUUUCACUAUCUUCAUCAUCUCUAUAUGUAGAGUAAGUGUAUUGUGAAGAGUAGUCGUCAAAUGAUAAAUCCCCAAAAUAAUUUUGUAUGUAAUUGUUAACAUACCACCCAUAUAAAUAUAAAUAUUUUAGCAUAUUAUCACAAAAACAUAAGUGAUAUGGUGUUUAAGGUGUUGGAGGAGUAAAAUGGGAGGGGUUCAUAUCCCCUUUGUGCUUUUUUCUCCCCUUUUUCCCUUUUUUUUUUUUAAAAAAAACUUUUUUUUUCCUUCACAUCGAUAUUUUCGAUAUUUUAAAGAUAUUACACCGAUAUUUUAAUAAAAUAUUGCUGAAAUGUGAGCGAAAUUAUCGACAUCGAUUUUUUCCGAUAUUAUCGUCGAUAUUGUCGAUAUUUAUACGAUAUGUACAUGGAUAUGUUCCGAAAUAUCCGUGAUUCGAAAAAACCGAAAUAUCCUCGAUAUUUCCUCGAUAUUAUCGAUAUUUCAGACUAUGCAUCUAGAUGGGUUACUUGCGCUUAUGUUCCGGUUCUCUUCUCUUAGGCUCAAGGAUUUGUGAUUGUUGAUGAGGUAGAGAGACGGUUAUCUUGGACCACUGGCUGUGCAAUUGAUGCAUUCAAGACUUUACUAGAUGUAAGUUGAUGACAUUUACUGAACUAACUCUUACUAUCCACUCUUCCCUUCAGUCUAUUAUAUAUACAUACUACGAUUGCUGGGGCUCAAGAAACCCUUGCUUUUCUCAGGAGGGUCUUGCAAUGAUUGAUGAUGGCCACAAAGAUGGUAUUCGCCGAUAUUGGUUCCCUUGUGUAUCUUCCAUAUCGACUCCAGGAGGAGCUGACACUUAACAAACAUGAGGCUGGUUAUGUGUGCAUACUGAAUGAUGGCUGAUUUUUCUGUGAUUUCCUUUUGUAAUACUAGUUGGUCAAACAGACUGCUGAUGUAUAAAGGAGACAUUUGCAGGGAAUAACUCAUGUUACUUCCCUCUAUGUUACAAAUAGUUUUAUUGAUGAAAUAUAUUGGAAGAUCAUGAUGCUCUGCAAUGAAAUGAAACUUAACACAAAUUUUUUGUAUUUUCUAUGAUCAUAUAUAUAUAUAUAUAUAUAUGAUCAUAGCAUCAUGAUCUUCCAAUAUAUAUAUAUAUAGUGCCUUAGUAAUUUUUUUCUCUGGUCUGUGCCUUAGUCAUUGUAAGACUCAAGUUUGACAAACACAAAGUUCUAUUCUGUUGAAAAUAAUGCACAUUUGUGUUUAAGAUUUCAAGAAUCAUCUAGAGAAUUCAAGAGCUCACAAUAAAGAAGUUGCAUGGCAGCAAAGCAAAAUGAAUAUGGUGGAAUAUUCUAGAAAAAGUGAUAAGUGAAUGGCUAGAGUAUGGCGGUGGAAGAAAUCUCUAGAGCAUACAAACAUGUGGUUGCAAGAAAUCUUCCCAAGUCGGUGGAACAAAGCAUGUCGGUUGAUCAAGCCUAUAAAUAGGCAUGCAACCACAAUGGAAUGUGGAGUAGAACCAAUCAACUCCCAAACCAUUAGGGAGCCAAGAGCUAAUCAAAUCAAACUAUGUUGAGAGCCAAUAAGCUCAUCAAUCAAAGUGUAAGGGCCAAUUAGCCUAUAAGGGCCAAAUAGCCAGCAAAGAGAGUAAGAAUAGGCCAAAUAGCCAGCAAAGAGAGAGAGAAUAAUAGGCCAAUAAGCCAAAAGGCCAAUAAGCCUAGCAAAUAGUUUCUUUCUAGUUGUUGAAGGCCAAUAAACCUACUCCUCUAUAAAGCCUUGUACCCAUCUAUUGUUGAAUAAAUAAAAUCACUCUUUUGUUCUCUAAAACCCAACAAGUGGUAUCAGAGCAUCACAUACGCUCAUCACACACCUACUACAAUCUAACAGUGGUAUCAGAGUUGGUUCGAUUGCAUUGGGCGUCAGAGCUGGUUCGAGAGCUAGUUCAACUCGAGAGUCGCAUUCGAUCAACUAUGGGCGCAUGGGCCGACUCAAAAGCAAGGUACGUGCUAUCAAUACUCAAUUCAAAGUUUCAAGAAAUCUAGAAGGGGAACGAAAUCUAAAGAAAGUUCUAGAGGAGAAGAUAGUGAAAAUAAAAGAGAUGGCAUGAGAGGAAAAAACUUUCCUCCAUGUGGAGUGUGCAAAAAGUUAAGGCACCCAAAAAAAAGAAAAAGAAGCUCUUUAAUCAAAGUGUAAGGGCCAAAUAGCCCAAACUAAGCAAAGUGUAAGGGCCAAAUAGCCCAAACUAUUCUAAAUCAAGUGUGGUGGUCAAUAAGUCAAUAUGCUAAGUGUAGAAGGCCAAUUAGCUUACACCGAGCCAUGUACUAUUCUUAUCCAAAUAUAAUAAAAUCACUUUGUUUUUUCCCUUCAACUCUAACAUAUUCCUUAUAAAGCGAGCUAAACUUACCCGGCCCACAAGCAAUCUUAUAAAUACCCAGAAAUUAUUUUUGAAAAAAUCUCCAUUAACGCAAGAAUUAUGGAGGGAAAGCACUCACGAUGGAGUUCACGGCCCUGCGAUUUGCUAAGAAAAAUCAGAGGCCCUCGCCAAUUUUUAUAAUAAACAGAUUAAUUUAUCAAAAUGAACUGAAAUGAGUGUUCAUCUUUCAUUUUUUAUUAACAAUAAAGGCAUAGAAAACCAGAGAUUUAUGGAUAUUAUGUUGUCAGACUAUCAACCUCAUAACGACAUUAACAGACAAUUGAACUCUAUCAUAAAUGUACAAGAGAUUUAUGCAAGGUACCAGUUACUGAUUACCUGGUUCAGCGAAUCCGUUUCAGAUGUUUUGCUUAGGGUUCUAGUAAUUGUUCAGCAACUUCUGCAAGAAAACAGACAUGGGUUUAAGAGAGAUAUCUAUGACAUGCACCCUUCUGUGUUUUCAGGUGAAUCUGAGUUAUUUGUAAGAUAUAGUUCGUUAUGAGACUUGAACUUGGAUUAUGAUAAAUGGAA
rnacentral:lncRNA from 1 species